rnacentral:lncRNA from 1 species
AGAAAGGAGCUUUCAAGGGCUUCUUGGCCGAAUGCAAAGCACUCAGCAGCAUUCGGCAUCAUAACCUUGUUAAGAUCUUGACUGCUUGUUCGAGCAUCGACUCCCAUCGUAAUGAGUUCAAAGCCUUGGUAUACGAGUUCAUGGUAAACGGCAACUUGGACAUUUGGUUGCACCCCAACGACGAACACAUGCAAUUCAAACCUUUGAGCUUCCUGCAAAGAUUGAACAUCACAAUCGAUGUGGCCUCUGCUUUGGAUUAUCUUCACCACCAGUGCCGAACUCCAAUCAUCCACUGUGAUCUGAAGCCAAGCAACAUUCUUCUCGACGAUGAUUUCACAGCUCAUAUCAGUGAUUUUGGAUUGUCGAGGCUCAUUUUCAAUUCUAACAAAGACAUCUUUUCGAGUCAUCUCAGCUCCUCUGCUUUUAAGGGAACCAUGGGUUACAUUGCUCCAGGUACUACUUUAAUGAUCACAAAUACAUUUACAUUCACACAAUCAAAGAUUUCGAUGACCUUGUAGAGUAAUCAAGCUAACAGGAACUUUUUCUGGACUGGCAGAAUAUGGAAUGGGCGUUCGUCCAUCAACAAGUGGGGAUGUGUACUCUUUCGGAAUUCUCUUGUUAGAGAUGUUCACUGGAAGACGGCCGACAGACAACAUAUUUAAAGAGAAUUUUAACCUUCAGAAGUUUGUCAAGUCAGUAUUGUCAAAGCGAGCAAUGGGGAUUUUGGAUCAGUCAAUUUUCUGUGGAGAAGUAGGCGAAAGCAUGGACGAGGAGGGGAUAUGGAGAGACUGUGGAACCGACCAAGCCAAAUGUCUGAUAUCGGUUUUCGAGAUCGGAUUAAUUUGCUCAGCAGAAUCGCCAAAAGACAGGAAGGACAUGAAUGGAGUUGCACGGGACUUGCUCUCAAUCAGAGACAAGUUUCUCAAUACCGGCAUCCAUGAGGAUAGAAUACAGAGCCCUGCACCAAGUAAAGCACCUUUUUAAGUCGCCAUAUGCUUGUAUCUUUGUAUCCCUGGCAUUGCUUCACUGUUCCACAAUAUCUUUGGAUUUAGUAAAUCGGCUCAUAUGAUAACAAGUAUCGGGACAAUUGCUGAGAGCCUGAUCGAUAUAUCCUCCUUUCUCUUUUCAUAUUUUGCAGGGGACAGGUGCGAGGUGGCGGCCUGUUCCACCUCCGGUUUUUGAGUGGGACGGGGGGAAACUGUAAAUAGAGGCUGGCACGACGUAGCUUGUUAGAGCCACGUGGCUCUUUCCAUGUCAAUGGCGGGCUAGCUUGGGCAUCUGCGAAGUCCUUCGUCCAUAACUGAGCUACCAGGGAGGGCCUUGGACUUUGAGGGGCUUCAGCUUGCUAGCUGGUGAGCCUCCAAACCAGCAGCUUCUGGUUGGUCAGCAAGCAAAACUAGCACGCUCUGCAUAAUAAAUAAAACAUGGACUUCGACUAUUCCUAUGGUUAUUUCCCUGUUAUGAGACAUCUCUAUGUACUUGGGUCCGGUCACGUUCUUGUGAGAUCCUAUGAAACCGUCCAUCAAGAACGAGAACCUUCCGAAAGUCCUCGAGGCUGUGACGGAAGGUCUCCAUGCACUGCCGUAAUGUAUGAAUGGAUUUCCUUCUUAUGUCCUCCAGCCAAAUUGUCCUUCUUUUCUGGGAAAUUUGAAACUGCAACGUUGAUACUGAUACUGUGAAUUCGGUUCUACGACGACUCGGUUUUCUGCUUAUUCCAUGAUCUAUCCUGAGAACCCAGCGAUGGAUUCCUAGUUCCAUCGGCGAAAUCAGCUUUUACUUCAAGCCUAAAAGAAAUUGUAUGCAUCACACCACCAUCACACCACCAAUUACACGAUCCUAUUAAAAAGAAAGAAAAAAGAAGAAAAUUUUACUAACAUGGUUUUUUUUUUUUUUUUUGGUAAGAGUAAGCAAUAUAUUAAAAGGGGUCAAACUGUACAAACAACACGGCUCCAAAAGCUUACACUUAAAAUGAACACGCUCAUUAAGAGUGAAAGGAAGCCGCUGACAAGCAACAAAACGACCAACAGAAAGCCAACAGCAAACAAGCCUGGCAAAAACACCUAAGCAACCACUGAAAAGCCUAUGUCAGACUACAAUCAGAGGUAGCGAAGAUAAUGAGGUCCACAUCCCACGAGUGUUGCAUCCGCCUGUUCCUGGGAGAGUCCUCAACAUUCUUAAUAGUAAGGGCCUUAUCCUUAACAACCUUGAGGAGAUGCUUCUUCAUGGCCGAAAUAGAUAACGGCUCCCCCCUGAACAGAAUAUUGUUUCUGUUUCUCCAGAUGAUGUGACACAGCGCCCCAAAGGAGAACCGGGCAACACACUUAUAAAACUCCUUGCCGCCGAGCAAGGUAAUGGCCCAACUGAGAGUCUCCUCCCAAGUCCUGUUGGUCCAGGGGAGAUUGCAUCUAGUAGCCCAGAAAAAGGCAAUACUCGAGGUAAUGCGACAACCAAAAAAGAGAUGAUUGAUUGAAUCAGGCACCUCGUUGCAAAAAGGGCAGGAAGCAGCAUCAAUCCUACCAUAAGACAUGAGAAGAGACUGUGUAGGUAACCUCCUCUUGGUGAUGAGCCACAAGUUCAGUUGGUAGCGAGGUAGGAUGGCAUUACUCCAAAUGAAACAAUGCCAAUUGACUCUGGCCUUCUUCCUCUUUAAGGCCUCCUAAGCCGAGGCCACCGAGAAUAAGCCCGUCGAGUCCUCCCUCCAACAGAACCUAUCUUGGGUUCCAGACAAGGAAGGAAUCGGCGAACCCCAAGACUCAGUCUUUGAUCUGAUAGCUCGUCCAUCUUCAGAGAAGAGAUCGGCAACCAAAGCCCGCCUAGAGAGACCGGAGCUAUAGAUUAGGGGAUCCGUGAAAUAUAAAUUCAAAGGACCCCUGGGAUGCCAAUUGUCGAAUCAGAGUGACGCUGAUAAUCCAUUGCCUAACCUCCAGUGGAAGUGAAGCCGGCAAUCUGUCCUGAGUUGUAAAAUUUUUUUCCACGCCCAAGAGCAGCAGGUUGGCUUUUUAACUACCCAGAAGUUCUUGGUUUUUAAGAAGGUCGAGUGGACCCACUUACACCAUAACGAUUCCUUAUCUGAAAAUAAAUUCCAGAUAUGCUUGAGCAUGGCCGCCUUAUUGCACUCACGCAAUCUCCGGAUACCAAGACCUCCCUCCACUUUAGGAAGGCAUACAUCUUCCCAGGAGACUUUAGCACCCCCUACCCAACUCAGGUCCUUUCCAAAGGAAUUGUCUGAGAAUACGCUCUAUCUGGUCCAGUAUAGCUGCAGGAAGAAUAAAGACACUUGCCCAAAAAGCCUGAAUGGCAUGGAGGACUAACCUGAUCAGCUGAAGUUGGCCAGCAAAAGAAAGAAACCGAUGAGUCAGGACUGCACCUUGGAGGUGAUGCGCCUCACAAGCUAAACGCAAUCUGCCUUCCGGGGCCUCGAUGUGAUGAUUGGAACCCCAAGAUAACGGAUUGGAAGGUUACCCUCAACAAAGCCAAGCUCCAGGAGGAUUUGAUUUUUUAAGGUCGGCAGGCCUCCCGAGAUGAUCACCUCGCUUUUCUUUGGGUUUGGGAAAAGUCUGCUCCAAGAAGAAAACAUAUGGAGACCAUCCCUGAGAAGCUUCACGGAUGGCAGGUGGCCCUCGCAAAAUAGGAAGACAUCAUCCGCAAAAAACAAGUGUGAGAAGCAAGUAUACUUACAUCUCCAGUAGAAUCUGAAAUCCGGCUGUAGAGAGCACCUCCCAAGAAUCCCAGAGAGAACCUCCAUAACCAACGUGAAUAAGUAGGGAGAGAUGGGGUCUCCUUGACGUAAGCCUCGCCCACUAGGGAAGAAACCAUGUAGCUCCCCAUUCAACGCGAUGGAAAACCGAGGAGUCCUCACACAGGUUUGCCGACAAAGUAUUUGAAAAAAAAAUGAACGAUAUAUUUGAUAACACCCGACAUGUUCGACGAUGAACUUAUAAAUGUAAUCAAUUUGAUCAAGAUGUUUGAAAGGGAGAUAUGAAUAAAAUAUCAAAAGCCGGAAUAAGUGAUUGGAAAAGAAAAAUAGACAGUAUGUCAAGAAUAUGGAAAAUUCUCUCAUACUUAUCUAUUCACAUUUCGAUAUUAGAGGUGACAAUUUUUGACGCUACGGGUCACACGGCUUGAGCAUAAUAUGGAGAUAACUCAUUCAGAUUUGCGAUUGAAUUGAUUAUCUAUGUUUGACUUUCGUGCCAAUUGAGUCAUCCACUCAUAACCAAUAACAGAAAUAAAGAGGAGAGGAAAGCUUUCAUAACCCCUUGAAUUAUUGCAAAUUUAGCUCUCCAUAGUAUUUAAACUUGCUCAACUCACCCAAAUUUACCAUCUCUUGGCCUAUCUCAAAUCCUUGGUGUUGGUUAAAGGUUUGGCCUUUCUCCUAGUAUCCUCAUAUUGGAACAGUAUAUAUUAAGCUUGUCUGCGGCUCUACCUAUAAACGUCCGAGAAAUCCCUAAGGUCCGGACGUUGCCUCAGACAAAGCUAUUUAAGGUCGUAAUUAGGCCAGGCUAGAAUAAGAGAAAAUCUCGAGAUGUAAGGAGUGACAAUUCAUGGAAAACGGAUGGCGUGGUUGAGGAGUUAAAAUCGCAAUGAUACAAGUUGAAAAUGAGAGUUGAAUUCGAACGAUUUCCACUCAUUUCAUUCCAAGGGUAAAUUAGUCUCCUCACUUUUAUGUCUCUCUUCCCAAAAAGGAGGCUUUUUGACCGGUCGACCAUUCCCUUAGCCGGACUCUGAAGAAUCGAACUGCCCUACCAACCCUCCGGCGACGAGAUCCUCAUGCAGCCGUCCCGGUUUCUCGUUUCGCAAGAGAGCAGAAUGCACAAGGCGCCAUCGUCUUCCUCCCUUGGCCCCGGUGGCCUGGACCUUAGUCAGGCCUUCUUCAUGCCGAUCCAAGACACUGUGCCGCCGUCACCCACCAAGCGCCACUCCAAGAUCGCCGUCGUUAGGGUCGGCAACGUCGGCAUGGCCAUCGCCCAUACCAUCCUCACCUAGGACCUCGUCGACAAGCUUGCCCUCAUCGACACCCGACCGGGUCAGACCCGGGUCGAGUUAGACCGGACCCGACCCGGUUUUCCAAAAUUUUUUUUUUUUUCAUUUUUUUAAAAUUAAUUAAAAAUUUAAAAAAAAUUACAAAUUUUUUUAAAUGUAGGGUUUGGUUAGGAAUUGCCAUGUCUUGCAUUCUUAGUAUAAUUAUGCAUUUAUUUGCUCGCAUAUUAAUUAUAUUGCAUGUUUAAUUUGCGUAUUUUAUUAUAUUUAAUUGCACAUGCUAAAAUUUACUACAAUUAGGAUUUUGGUUUUAAAUUGUUACUUUAAUGAUUGCGUAUCCACAUGAUCACCUCACAUGUUAGUGGAUAUGGUAUAAAAUCAAUCCAAACUGCCCAACAAAAAUCUUUUCUUUUAAAAUGAACAAGAUUAGAUAUCAAAAUGGCAAUAAUUUGUUAAUUAGUGUAAUCAAAUCUCCAAUCCUAGAUUCUUUGGUUGCGUAGGAAGUGAGGUACACUCCCAUACCUCACUUCAUUUCUAGCCGACCCCAAUAGACUAGUGGCAACUCCUUUUUGCGAAAUUCUUGAGAACACCCCAAUAUUAUGCAGGGUAUGGGCUUGGGAGAGCCCAAGCCUAAUCAUGAACCAUAGGCCUGUCAUUUAGGCAAUACUCCUAAACAUGUUCCCUCCCCCGAGGAAUAGGUCGCGACAAUUAGUUAAGCAUGAAACUCGAUCUCGAUGAUGAUGACUCCAUAGCUUAGUUCCCAAGCCAGUUUGGGCACGCUGUAGUGUCUAGAACUAAUGGUUACCCAUUAUUCACCCAGAAGGAAGAGGGGAAGGAGGGCGGUCCAAUCAAUUGGAUUUUUUGUAGUCCAUAUGAAGAACUCAGUUAAGCGGUUUAGUACCCUUACUUGGAUUGGUAGUGCUGGAUUCCGACAACUGGCUGUACGCAGGAAGGCUUUUCCUGUAGAAAAUGCUUCUUUUAUGCCUCGAGUAUUAGCCAUAGCUUGUAUUCAUUCAGUAAUUCUACCCCUCUGGCGUCAUGAAGGACUGUGAGACGCCUUGUCCCUCCGAGUACUCCGCUAUAAAGUCCCCAAAGUCCAAUAAGGUGGUAGAAAGAGCAGUUGCGGCGCUUUACUAAUAACAUAAAAAUGGGUAUGGAUAGAAAAUCUGCAACCGUCGUUGGCCUUUCUUUUCUUGUCCUACCAACUUUAUUCACUUCAAUAGAAUCAUUUCCGUCUCUCUCUUCGAUCGAAGUGAAGGCUUUAUUUGAUUUGCGCUUAAGGCCCGUCCGCCCAAGUUGGGCCCAGAAAGCCCGGCCCACGGGAAUAGGGCCCGUGGAAAGAAGGGGGUAUAAAAGGGAGGAGAGAGAGAGAAAAACACACCGUUUGUUUUGCAAUUCAACGUACGUCUUUUCUCUUCUCACGCUCUCUCUCUCCCAAAAGGAAAGAACAGUAAGCAUACGGCGCGCUUUUCUUCCCUUCAAGGCCUCCUCGGAUCGAACAGAGUCUGAUUUCUCUUCCUCCAUUGGCGUCGGUGCUUAAUCUGUGGCUAACAAGGUACGCUCGAAUCCGUGGUGUGCUUUACGAUCGGUGAUACGUGUUUUCCCAGGCUUCGUCUUCCGCAUUGAUUUAGGGGGUCGAUUUAGUGUCAAAUCCGGUUUUUCGGGAAUAGGGCCCGUGGAAAGAAGGGGGUAUAAAAGGGAGGAGAUAGAGAGAAAAAUAUACUGUUUGUUUUGUAAUCGUACGUUUUCUCUUCACUUACGCUCUCUCCCUCCCGUUUUCUUUAAACGCAAAAACAGUAAAGCACAUUGAAGGUUUUUGCUUCCUCGGAUCGAACAAAGUCUGAUUUCUCUUCCUCCAUUGGCGUCGGUGUUUAAUCUGUGGCUAAAAGGUACGCUCGAAUCCGUGGUGUGCUUUAGGAUCGGUGAUACGUGUUGUUUUUCCCGGGCUUCGCUUCCGCAUUGAUUUAGGGGUUCGAUUUAGUGUCGAAUCCGGUUUUUCGGGGAUCAGUCAAUCCCAACAUUGGUAUCAAAGCCCUAGUUCACGUUUUCCCGAUCUGUUUUGAUGUUUUUGAUUGAUUUUUCGCAAAAGCAAUUCGGCCGUACGGAUCGGGGCGAGAAAUCCCGACACCCGAGCGUUCUUCGGCCAUUUUUCUGAGUUUUCGUAAGUCGAAAUCACUUUCUGAACACAUGGGGAGAAAGGUGACGUCGACACGAGUCUGGAGACACGUCGUGUGCUACCGGGCGACGCCGCACGCGCCCGGAAGCGCUGGCUCGCCCAGCGCGUGCGGCACACGCGCCGGUCGGCGAACCGGCGCGUGCGCACCGCCGGCGGGCGAACCGGCACGCGCCGGUCCGCGGACCGACGCGUGCUGACGUCACCGUGACGUCAUCCAACGGUCGGUAACCGCUCGGAUGACGUCACCGAUGACGUCAUCGCCGACGACGUUUCGCCGGGCGGUCACCGGCCGGCGACCCGACCCGACUCGCGGACGCAGGCACGCUCGCGGCACGUGCUGGAUGACGUCUGCGUGACGUCAUCCCCGCACCCGCGCGGCACGUGCGGUCGGUCCGCGUGAGCGGUCCGACCGGCCCGACCGGUCCGACGACCAUUGACCGUUGACCACCGUUGACCGUUGAUCGACGACUGUUGACCGACGACCGUUGACUUUGCCCGUUGACCGUUGACCCGAAAAAAAAAAAGAAAAAAAAGAAUGUGUUUUUUUUUCAAUUAAGUCUAUGUGGAUUAUUUGUGAUCUCUUAUUUAUUCUGCAUUUGUUGCAGGAACAUUUCUGCAUUUGUUGCAGGAAAAAAUGCCCCCCCUCAGGUUGCGCACACCUAUUCGCGCAAUUACCGAUGAACAGAAUGAAAGAUUGUCUAAGUUGAUAGCUGAGCUGACUGAUCAUCGAUGGGAGAGAGGUGACUUAAUUGAUCAUGUCCUUGAAGUCAACGGGAAAAUUCAACAGGUCAUAUGGAAUGGUCGUCCUAUGUCACAGUCAGAGAUGGUGCAAUUUUUCAUAAACACUCUUCCACCUGAAUGGCAAGAUGUGUUGAAUCGCAUAUGGGAUGUCAACGGAGCUGCUUCAUAUAAGAAAAUUGUAAUAGAUUUUGUAAAUGAAUAUUAUUGUAUUGUUUCAAGUAGGGGUGUGCAUUGGACCCGGGAACCGCCCGGACCGCCCGGAACCGGACCGGAACCGCCCGGAACCGGCGGUUCUUGAGGGAACCGGUCCGGUUCCCGGGUCCAAUUGUUGAGAACCGGUGGGAACCGGUCCGGUUCCCGGUUCUGUGGGCGGAUCCGCCCGCCCGCCCACCCGGACCGGACCGGUACUAUUUAUAAUUUAAAAAAAAAAAAAAAAAAAAAAAAACAAAAGUCGCGAACGAAGCCCCCUGCCCCUAAUUCGCGAAGCCCUAAUCGUGUUUCUUCUUCUUCAACCUCCGACUCUCUCUGUUCCUUUCCUUCUCUUCGUCUUCGAUUCCACGGUUCCACGGUCCACCCCGAGUAUCCACGCCGCCGCCGCUGCUCCUCCUCUGCCACUGUCCGCCCCCUCGCACCGGUCACCACUCGCCAGCGGCCAACCGCUGCUCCUCCGCCUCUGCAAGAACUCUUGACCGAGCCGGCGAGCCCAUUUUCCGUCACUCAACAAGGUAAGAAGCCCUAAUUUGCUUCUCAUCUCUUGAUUCUCUUCCGAUUUCUUCCUCAGUUUUUGAUUAUCUCUCUGUUUCUUCCUCAAUCUCUUCUCCUCGUCUUCGAUUCCUCACCAAGCAUUCACGCCGCCGCCGCUGCUCCUCCUCCGCCACUGUCCGCCCCCUCGCGCCGGUCGCCACUCGCCACAGCCGCUGCUCCUCCGCCUCUUGUUUCGCUCUUGAAAACCAGAAUUUUUCCGCCUCUUGUUCCGCUGCUCUUGUUUCCACAGCGGCGGUCCGGGAAACCAAAAUUGUUUCGCUCUUGAAAACCAGAAUUUUUCACGUCAAAAUCGGUUCCAUGGAUCCACCCGGGAACCGGACCGGACCGGCGGUCCGGUUCCCGGGUGGAUCCACCCAACAAACGGGUGGAUCCCGGUUCCGAUUUUUUGGAACCGGUCCUUAGCGGGCGGUUCCCGGUUCUAGGUCGGGAACCGCCCGCCCGGACCAUGCACACCCCUGGUUUCAAGGGAAAAGAUCAAGAAAUUGAACAAAAGAGGAUCUUUCCCAGUUCGUGUGCUGACUUGGUGUUAGUUGUAUUGGCUGAUAUAUGUUAAGUGUGAUUUAUGGACAUCUUAUGUAUUGUUUACUACUGAAUUGUGUUAAUUCAAAGCAUUAUUGUUUUUUUAUUGGAUGUCUAUUAUAUAUUGCUUUCUGUUAUUGCUGGUUGCUGUGAGAAAUUAGCUGUGGGUAGUUUUAGAAGUUUUUGUAGCUUCAUAGAAUUGAUUUUGCAUAAGACAAUUAUAUUGAUGAUAUUUUUAAGUUAGGAUUUUGAAGGAUGAUUGGAAACAUAGUGACCUUUUGAUUCUGAAAUCUUACUUAAAAUUAUUCAUUAAUAUGAUGGGUCUAUGUAAAUAGGGAUGCAUAAAUGAUAGGCAUUAAUAAUUCAUGCAUAUUUGUCUGAUUUGUUCAGAUCAAUGGCUUCAGCCACAAAGAGCAUAGUUGCCGAGCUGAACAAAGGUGAAAAGCUCAAUGGUGACAACUAUGAAAUUUGGCAAAUGAAAAUCCAGUAUGUGCUGGAAGAGCAAGAAGCACUUGAGGCUCUUGUCAUGACCAUGGUAGAACCUGAAGAGGGAACCACUGCAUAGCACAAAAGAGACAAAGAAGCUUUUUCUGCGUGGAAAAGAAUGAACUCUCUAGCUCGCAUCACGUUGCUGAGCAACAUGGAAAAUGACGUCAUGCGAGAGUUUCGGCGUUUUGACAAUGCCAAGGAAAUGUGGGAGGCAUUGGCAGCUAGAUUUGGUCAUACUUCGGUGACUAGACUGAGGCAGCUCACUAUCAGGUUUGACUCUUAUAAGAAGCCUCAUGGUUAAACCAUGAAGCAACAUCUUAGAAAGAUGUCAAACAUGAUAACUGAGCUGAGAGAUGCUGGCCAUGUCCUCACAGAUGAGCAGCAGGUGCAAGCAGUGAUUCGUUCCUUGCCUCAAAGUUGGGAGCACAUGAAGGUACACCUGACUCAUAAUGAAAAUAUCAAAACCUUUGAGGAUGCAAUGCGUCAUCUUGAGCUGGAAGAGGACCGCCUGUUGGCGGCUAAGCCGGAUGCUGAACUCUAUCAUGCUAGUUCUAGCUCAAAUGGAGCUUCGAGCUCCAAGCGCAAGCGCCCUAACUGGUUUGAUAAGGGAAAAGGCAAGGAAGAAGCAGGUCCUUCAGGGAAGAAACCCAAGUUUAACCAACAUGAAAGAGGGAAGCGUCCCCACAUGAAAAAGCUUGCAAGGGUGAAAUGCUACAACUAUGACAAGAAGGGUCAUUAUGCUCGCGACUGUCGUGAGCCAAAGAAGGUAUGCACCCCUUGUACUUUUCAGAACUUUACUUUUGUGUCGAGUUCUGUGUUCUUAACUGAGUCUAAUCCUUUGUGGACUGUGGAUUCAGGAGCGACGGACCAUGUAGCGAAGGAUAGAGGAUCCUUCGUGGAAUUCCGACGAGUACCAAUUGGAACUAAGUGGAUCUAUGUGGGAAACAACUCCAGAGCUGAAGUGAAAGGAAUUGGCACAUGCCAACUGAAUAUGCGUGGUGGACGCACUUUGUUCCUUCAUGAUGUGUUGUAUGCUCCGGAGAUUCGUCGGAAUUUAGUGUCUGUAUUAGUGUUGGUUAAAUUAGGUUUUAAUAUGAACUUCUAUAGUAGAGGUGUGAAUUUGUUUUUGGAUACAAAUUACUAUGGUUGUGGUUAUUUUCUGGAUGGUUUUAUUGUAUUAGAUAUUGAUUAUGUUAAUGCUAAUGUUUGUUAUUCUCUUCUCACGUCUCAUAAUACAUAUGAUAAUGAUGUGAAUGUGUGGCAUGCUAGACUUGGUCACAUUGGCCAACAGCGUAUGAAUAGACUAGCCAAAGAGGGCUUAUUGGGCAAUAUUGAAAAAGUCGAUUUGUCCAUAUGUAAGCAUUGCCUAGAAGGGAAAACGACAAGGAAACCAUUUGAAAAGGGAAAAAGAGCUGAAUUUCCUCUGCAUUUAAUCCAUUCUAAUGUCUGUGGUCCAAUGAAUGUGAAAGGAAGGCAUUGGGCUGUUUAUUUCAUCACUUUUAUAGAUGAUUAUACUCGAUUCGGAUAUGUCUAUUUGAUUUCUCACAAAUCUGAAGCAAUAAGUUGUUUUAAAAGGUUUAUGAACCUGGUAGAGAAUCAAUUAGACAAGAAAAUAAAAGCAUUGAGAUCCGAUCGAGGUCGAGAAUAUUUAUCUGAUGAGUUCAGAAAAUUAUGUGAUGAAAAAGGAAUAGAAAGACAGUUGUCUAUUCCAUAUACUCCUCAACAAAAUGGUGUUGCGGAGAGAAGAAAUAGAAUCUUACUGGAAAUGGUUAGGUCCAUGAUGGCGCAUGCUAACUUACCUAUUACCUUUUGGAGUGAUGCGUUGUUAACUGCUGCCUACAUACUUAACCGUGUGCCUUCCAAAUCAGUUACUUCCACUCCAUAUGAGUUAUGGACGGGUAGAAAACCGGACUUAAGUUUUCUUAAGCCAUGGGGUUGUGCUGCCUAUACACAUGAGUCCUCUCACAAGUUUGGGAAACUGGGUCCCAGAGGAAAGAAGAGUAUUUUUAUAAGGUACUCUGAACACUCGAAAUGAUAUGUGUUCAUAGGUGAGCAGGAAAGUGGGAGUAUAACUGAGUUUGAAUCACGAGAUGUCACAUUCCUAGAGGAUGAAUUUCCUAAAAAGGGCUAAAUAGGGGAAGAUUGUUCCCUAUUUGAAACCUUGGAUCAAGAUAAUGACCUUAGUGGACUUCAUCCAAGUGGGAGCAUAAUGGGGAAUGAUGUGCAAAGUGUACAAUCUCCCAUACGGCGAACAAGUCGCCAAAGUAUUCCUCGUCGACGUUUUGACAUUGAAGGGGAGACUUUUAUGGUUGCUCCACAAGAUGAGGAUGAGCCAAGAAAUAUUAAUGAGGCUCUGAAUUGCCCUAGUAAGGAAAAAUGGAUUAAUGCAAUGGAAGAGGAAAUGGAGUCAAUGAAAUCAAACCAAGUCUGGGAACAGGUUGAUCUGCCAAAAGGACGCAGAGCUAUUGGGAACAAAUGGGUUCUCAAAAUAAAGCGAAAGGCUGAUGGCUCGAUUGAAAGGCAUAAGGCUCGCCUUGUGGCGAAGGGGUAUAAUCAACAGGAAGGAAUUGAUUAUGAAGAUACGUUUUCUCCUAUAGUAAGAUUUACCUCGAUUCGCAUUAUUCUGGCAAUAAUGGUUGGUAUGGAUCUUGAGCUACAUCAGAUGGAUGUAAAGACUGCUUUCCUUAAUGGAAAAUUAGAGGAAGAAAUAUAUAUGGAACAACCUGUUGGUUUCAUAGUGAAAGGCCAAGAAGAAAAAGUAUGUCGACUUUUGAGGUCGAUAUAUGGUCUUAAGCAGUCAUCAAGACAAUGGUAUAUACGUUUUCAUAAUGCCAUAAUGGCAUAUGAUUUUACGAUGAUUGAUGAGGAUCAUUGUGUAUAUAUCAAAAGAUCCAAGGAUCAAUUUGUGAUCAUAUCAUUAUAUGUUGAUGAUAUACUAAUUGCUGGAAGCAAUAUGGAAUUUGUUAAGACUGUCAAGAGUUGGUUGUCUUCCAACUUUGAGAUGAAGGAUAUGGGUGAGGCUGCAUACAUUCUUGGAGUUAAGAUUUCAAGAGAUCGUUCGAAGAGAUCGUUGUCUCUUUCGCAAGAAACUUAUAUAAACAAAGUUUUAGAACGGUUUCGUAUGCAAGAUUGUAAACCCAUAGACACUCCUAUUGCAAAAGGUGAAGGAUUGAGCCAUAGACUAUGUCCAAGGACUCCACAAGAGAAGGAACAAAUGAAACAUGUUCCUUAUGCAAGUGCUGUUGGGAGCUUGAUGUACGCUAUGAUGUGUACAAGACCCGACAUAUAUUUUGUAGUUGGAAUGGUGAGUAGAUACCAAUCCAAUCCAGGUCCAGCACAUUGGAAAGCCGUUAAGAGAAUACUGAGGUAUCUGAAGGGAACUGCUGAUUACAAGUUGAAUUACCAAGGAAAUGAUCUGCGACUUGAAGGCUAUUCAGAUGCUGAUUGGGGAGGAGAUUUAGAUGAAAGAAAAUCUACCUCAGGAUUUGCUUUCUUACUGAGCAAUGGCGCCAUAUCAUGGAGUAGUAAGAAGCAAACGUGCAUAGCCUUAUCCAUGAUUGAAGCUGAGUUCGUAGCGUUAUCAGCAGCAGUACAAGAAGGAGUUUGGCUUAAGAGAUUUUUGGAUCAUUUAGGUGUUAUUGAGAAAGCUGCAAAUCCAUUAUUGGUUAACUGUGAUAGCCAAGCAGCUAUAACGUACACCAAAGAUCCAAAAUAUCAUGGUAAGACCAAACAUAUAGAUACCAAGUAUAACUUUGUGAAAGAUAUGGUUGCACGAAAGGAUGUGAACUUACAGUACAUAUCUACGCAUAGAAUGGUAGCAGAUCCUAUAACAAAGCUAAUAGCUAGAUAUGUGUUUUGUGGUCAUGUAAAAUCUCUAGGAUUGCGUAGAGUCUGAUGUACUGAAUUGUAAUUUCCCUGAGUUGUUCUCAUUUAUGAAAUUUUGUUUUUCAUUGAUUAAUGCCUAUGAAUCUUUGUAUGAUCUUUAUGCAUCUUAAUGCUCAGUGCAUUAUUUUAAGUUGAGAAGUAUGUCGGACAGAUAAAAGAUUAGCCCACUCACAUGGGUAAUCGCCUCUGUUUACUGUGUGAUAAAUAGAGAUGAGACUGAUUUUAAGCUUAUUAUCUAGGUGAUAAUCGAGAGCUCAAGCUUAAAAUACGUAUGUCGCCUUAACUAAGUGUUAAGAUGAGGACAUAAUACUUACGAUGUCCGAAAGUAAAAUACCCCACAUAUUUUACUUUAUCUGUCUAUGAUGCCAGAUGUGAGUUCUGAUGAAUUUUGUGAUUGAGUAGAUAUGUGAACUCAAGUUAGACAUUAGAUAUGUCUGAACUAUCAUCUGUACGGUAUUGAAAAGUGUAGACAUACGCUCCAUGGGAAAGGAGUUAAUACCGUAAUACGUAUUUCAUACUACGUAUGCAUGAGACGACCAAUAAGAGUGGCAAAAAGUUUGAUAUCAACUUUUAUGACGUGUGAGACUCUUGAUGAAAAGAGUUCCUCAAUUUUUAGUCCCCUUAGGACUCUUACUUAUUCUCAAGAUUUCUAUUUAGUGUUUGCUAUCUUAGGGUGUUGCCAAUGGUCAUGAGAUGAUUCGAUCUAAUGGGGCAUUUCUAGAAAAGCAAGCUGGACUGAAAUUGAGAGUUUGAAGGAAAGAGGAAGAUCGAUUUUGGAGAAUCACAUUGUGGUUUUGUAUUCACUGGUCGACCAAUUAUGACUGUCUUUGUGAUAAUUAUAAUUGUGAAUACAAUAUAAAUAUAUCAUUAUUUAAAAGAGAUCAAGGGAGAUAUAAAUGUGAUCGAUCGAUCUAGGGUACUCCAUACUAAAUCUACUCGGAGUGUGACACCCAUUAUGAGCUGCUAUAUAUUCCUAACAGAUGUAUAGCAACGAGCUCUCAAAGUAUGCUGGUCGCACGGAUUAUUCACCAGUAUGAAUGUUGAAGAGAGGUAAAGAGAAUCCUGUUCGGCCCACCAUGUGCGAGUGGGAGAUGAUGGUUUUAAUUGGGGAUGGGCUUAAGGCCCGUCCGCCCAUGCUGGGCCCAAAAGGCCCGGCCCACGGGAAUAGGGCCCGUGGAGGGGGAAGGUAUAAAAGGGAGGAGAGAGAGAGAGAAGACAACGUUUUGCAAUUCAACGUACGUCUUUUCUUCUUACGCUCUCUCUCUCCCAAAUAGAAAAACAGUAAGGCAAAGUGACGUUUUUCUUCCUUCAAGGCUUCAUUGGAUCGAACUUCCAUCCCUGAGUAAUGAGAGGGAUGAAGUAGAACAAGCGGGCCCUGACCUAGAGACUCAAUGUAACGAGGUGAGUAGUGCAAUUGACUCAUUUCUUUCUUCCUAAAAAAAAAUCGCCGUAAGAGGCGAUUUUUUGAUAAAGGUGCGAGAGCAAUUGAAACCUGUUAUCCCUAGAGUAACUUUUAUCCGUUGAGCGACGGCCCUUUCACUCGGCACCGUCGAAUUACUAAGGCCAACUUUCGUCCCUGCUCGACGGGUGGAUCUUGCUGUCAAGCUCCUUUCUGCCUUUGCACUUGAGGGCCAAUCUUCGUCCGACCCAAGGAAACCUUUACUCGUUCUGGCAGCUAGUUGAAUGGCAGCGGCAUCUCAUCUAGUCUAGAUCGAUUCCCUAAGAGUUUCUUCUCUAUAAGGCGAUUUGGCCCAUUUUCUCUUUCCUCUUUCUCUUCCCCGGAAAUAAGGCAAGCCUUUCUUCAUCAUGACAGCCUUCCUUUAUUUGAAAUGAAUUUGUCUCAGAAGGACACAAAAAAACAAAGAAAAAAAGGGCCGUGAUGAUGAUCCUAUCUUCGUUUUCACCCUGCCCCGAUGAUGCACUCUUUGCUCGCGGAGCUACAUACCGGAAAAAAGAAAAAGACUCUCUAAACCUUUGAGAAGAGAAUCGUUGGUUUGACCACGGACUACGUGGGAAAUCCGAGAUCUAGGCAAGCUGCUACAUCUUCUCCCCUUGCCAUUUUUCGAUAGAAGAACUACAACUCUUCUCUUAGAUAGCGGUUGAUCGCUCAGUUCCUUCUUCUCCUUCUUCCAAAACCCGAACCAAUCUCUUGAUUCACAUGAAUGUGAAACCGUUGCAACCUAUCUUGCAUACCAAUCAUCCGCCGCUUACAAUAAUGGUACUAAGCCAAGGUUUUUAUGGAUAGAAUCCGUUGCCUAGGAGCUCAGAGAAAGGUAGUGAAGUAAUAUUUUCUUUUGAAAGCAAAGAGGAGUGGAGUGGCAGUCGCGCAAGCAAGUGAAGUAUAAUAAGCCAAAACAAUUAUGCAACUUGGCCCCUUCAAUCCGACCGACUCCAUAGAUCUUUGGUUAUCCGAAAGCACGGCUUUGAGAACAAUAGCCUUUUGUUGGAUCAUAGCCUGCAUCAACUCAUUAUUUGAUUCCUCAAUCUGUUUGUUGUCUUCAAGCAACGAGAUUUCAAUCUGUCUGUUGUCUUCAAGCAACGAGAUUGUCACUCUCGAGCCCGACGGUUGUAGCAGCAAACGGAUUGACUUCCGUGGCCGUGCCUGAAGAUCCAUUAGAAGUAUCCUCAUCCCCAACCAUUAAGAGGGUAGGCUCCUUGACCUCGGGAAGUGGAACUCCCAUGGGGUGCUGCGGGCGUAGCCUAGCCCCAUGAAUCAAGAGUAAACCACCACUAGCAAUUGAAUCAGUAAGCGCUUUGAAUAGAAUAAAGGUUGCUACUGUUAUUGAAUCAACUGCACAUGAAUUUCACUCCAUCAAUAAACCAUGUAGGCAACUUAACCUAAUUCCUUUGGAAAGGCUUUCAUUGGCCUUUUGUAGCACGAUAGGAAAAGCGGAUUGAGAUUACUAAUGUGUCUUGGCAGUCAUAACGAUCCCCACACCGAAAAUCACAACAAAAGAGACAAGCUCACUGAAAUAAAGACCUAUUUGAACUAGAAAGGGAAGUCUCGGAGAAAAGGAAAAAGGAGCCGCUCGCCUCCUAGUAGUUUUGUAUUGAGAGACCCAGGGCGUUUUUCCUACGCUAUAUUCCAAAGUCCCAUUCAUCACUGCUUUCUGUUAAAAAGAAAAGAGCUGCUCCUUGUACCCCGUUCAUAUAACACAUGAGAUGUAUAGGCAUUUUGAAACCAACCGAUUGCAUUCUUCCUUCAAAUUCUGGAAUAUCUACCUUAAUAUCAUAAUCUUGUUGGAAAUCAAAUCAUAGUUUCUACCAUACGCGGAUCUCAUAUAAUACUAUACCGCUAAUUCAAGUCCGCUCAUUUCAUUAAGAACGCGCUCUAUAUGACCGGCGGCGGGUUACCAGAGAAGAGGGGACCACUUCUUUCUCCCUUGCCUUGCUCAAUCUUCCUUUUCCGAUUGAAAGGAGCAAGCCACUCCACUACUGGUACAGAGGCCAGAUAGAAGGUUGCUCAUCCAGCCCAGCAAAUCCAUUGUUUAUGCGGUAGUGCGAUGCAAAAAGGUAAGAGCUUAGUAAGGUAUAGGUUGGGGAAAACUCCAAAACUAGGGUUCCAAAAAGCUUACCUUAUAUAAAUCAAGUUUUUGAAAGGGGCACCCUGACUAUAUAUACCCCUAAACUACAAGCUAGCAUGCAACAGCUGAAUGUAGAGCAAUCCACCCUUACGACCUUUGAUCAGUAUAUAUUUAGAACUUCGGAAGAUGGUCAAGGUAGCUUGCUUCCAAGCCAUUGCACUAGAUGUGCAUGUAGUCGUAGUAGUCAACCUAGAAGGCCAAGGAAAUGAAAUUGUUAAUUUAAUGUCCUAGUAGGGCAGGGUUUAACACUAUAUAAGGGCUAGGGAAAACGAAGGUGGAAGCUGGCGGCAGGGCUUGCUUAACCGCAUACACGGAAUUGGGAUGUCUCUCGCAUGCAACUCUUUCUAUCGAGAAAGCCUCGCGGAGUUUUUCUCUCAGGAUGUCAGGGUCAAAUCUAGUUGGAAUUGGCUUCUUAGACUAAUCAUAGCAGGACUGUGUAUGUUGAAUACUGCUUGUCUUCCUGAGGAUUUGUGUGUAAGAAAGAGUGCCACCACUGGGCGGAUACCCUCGGAGAUCCCAGUGAAUACAUAUGUGUUAACAAUGUUUCCUAGACAUUGAUUGGAAAAUAAAUAUAUUAUCACGUCGGGAUAAGGCAGCAGGAGAUCAGAAGCUUAUGGCGAGAAGGAUAGAUUACAAAUUGGUGGUAAUACCCCUAACCAAGUCUUUUCACUUAACUUCACUAAGCUGUUGAAGUUAAGAUGUCUCAAACAAAUCUGUAAUACCAUAAUUAGGCUCUGUACACCUACGUCACUUGGCUCGCGCGCAACCCCACUCCCUUAUGUUAUGGAAAAUUGAACUUCUUGCUAGGCUGGUUAUUCAAAGCCAGCAAUUGGCUGCUGGAAGAUGAGGUUCAUCGCUCACUGGUAGGUAACUGACGCCUUAUUCAAACCAAAGGGCAUGACCUGCCAGCAGAAUAGUCCAUUCGUCCAACAGCACCUGGACAAGGGAAUGUUGUUUUUGCCUCGUCCUCUUUGGAGAUGAAAAUAUGGUUAUACCCCAAGUGACCAUCCAUGAAUGGCAGCAUUUUUUGUAAAAAAAAAAUACAAUCGAUAAGGUUCUAAUAUGGAACCCAUGACAUGUUUUACCCAAAACAAGGGCGCUACAUCCCUUUCAAUUGGUCUAUGGUGUCAUUGUAGAGAAUCCCUGCCUUGUUUUCCACAUGGUUAUUUCCUAACUUGCUUUGGUAAGAUGUGGGCGCAAAAUGCUAUUAUGCUCUAUUGUUGCGUAGCAAUAGAAAUAGAAGCCCGCUCAUGCUGCUUAGGCGGCGCUUUUUUGCCUUCUCUUUGCUCUGGACAGGAGCGCUAGUGGACACGGGGAGGGAGCAGGCGAAGCGUGUCGUUCGUGAAAAUCAGGUCGAUGGAGAUCCCUGCCAAAUUUAGUCCUUUCCGGGUGGCUAUUGACUUUGAAUAUGGAAGGCCCGGGCAAGCUUGGUAUCCAGGAAAAAAACAUAUUAAAAAUCUAUGUAAGCAUGCUAUUCUUUUUCUCUCUCCCGCUAAAGUCCGUGAAGAGGGGGGCUACGGGUGAUGAGACCGUUCGGCGUUCGCACACUUUGACCAUGUCGGCAGCACUUUUUUCUUUCUUCUUUUUGAAAUGUUUCAUGAAAACGCAUUUUUUUCAAGGGGAGCCAUGGGAUUCCAACCGUCUCCACCAUCGUCUCAGUCAAUUUUAUGACUCAAACCGCGACUGACAGGCCUGCCCACUAGCAACCUCGGUGAAUAGUAGUCCUUCAGUUUUGAGCCUUUGGUUGGAACUUGGAACCCUAUUCGUUGUAACCCGAUAAGAUCGCAAAUCCGAAAUCCAGUGAUGCCCGCUGCACCAUCAGGGAUGGGAUUUUAUCAGUUCCUUCAUCGAAAUGAUCAGAGCAUACGAGUUGACCGAAGCUGUCGUUGUUGGUUCCUGAAUUCGUUACGUCCCGACUAUGAGAAAUUCGAUACAAGCGAGAAGUGAGAACUAAGGGCUUACGCAACGUGCACGGCACCAACUCUUAAUGCAAGAACAUACAAAUAAAUUAUUUGAAAUUGGGCCUUUCCCCGGUAAAAGAACACCUCAAGUGUCAAAAUUUAGUACAAUUGAACACUUAAAUGUAAAAAAUUACAAAAGUAACACGAGCCACUUUUUAUGAAAAAAUAGGAUAUUUGAAUGUCACAUUCGGUGAACCCCGAAAUCCUACAUGGUAAUUUUUUAUUUAUUUUCUCACUUACGUAGUUCGCCGGAAAACUGACUCAGCAAAAACACACAAAAACGACUUCGUUUUGGUGCAAUUUGAAUUUCAAAUUGUCGUUCAACACUUGCAUGAUUGCAACUUAAGAUUCACGCACUCCGAGACUUUAUAUACUCUAAACAUUCAGGUCAACUCAAGUCAAGUCAAGUGCCACUAGAUGUCUCAGCGAGUCGUCCCCGAAAUGAUUCAAUCUGUGGAUAACAUCGAUACGGGAUCCGAAUGAUUGAAUCUGAUCUUCCUGUGGCCUAUCCAUGGUUUCGAUUGUUCCAAGCUCCUGUGGCCUUCUCUAUAAAUGGAAUGUUUCAGGUCAGGUCAGGUCAGGUACCACCAUACCUAUCCCAGCAUCUCCUCACUGAAACUAGUAAACCCAAAAAUGAGUUCGAGCCAUUUCUGUUCAGUCACCUUCCCUGCCAUCUUGAUCCUGGAGCUGGUGAUCGCGAGCUUCGCUUCCUGUAGCGCUCCAGGGAACGAGACCGAUAAAAUUGCUCUGCAAGAAUUCAGGUCCCUCUUAACAGAUGAUUCUGCAGGAACCUUGGCCUCCUGGAAUGAUUCCCUCCAUUUCUGCCGAUGGACUGGAGUCACUUGUGGUAUCAGACACCAACGAGUCACCGCCUUGAACCUAGAUGGACGAGGUCUGGCCGGGACCAUGUCCCCUUAUAUCGGAAACCUUUCGUUCCUCCGAUACCUGAACCUCGCAAACAACUCUUUCCAUGGUUUCAUUCCUCCUGAAAUCGGGCGCUUGUUUAGGCUUGUAAACCUGCUCUUGAGCCACAACGCCUUAGGAGGUGGAAUUCCUAGAAAUCUCUCCCUGUGUCUUAGCCUCGUGACUCUCGAGCUCGACUAUAAUCGUCUCCACAAUUCCAUUCCUUCCGAAUUUGGGUCACUGUCGAAACUCCAGACGCUCUCCCUUCCGUUCAACAAUCUCAUAGGGCCAAUCCCCGCUUCCAUAGGAAACCUUUCCAACCUCGAAACGCUUGAUCUAUUGAGCAACAACCUGACAGGAGGAGUUCCCAUUUCUAUAAGCCAAACGAGGCUUAAAUUUUUUCAGGCAGGUGCAAACCAGCUGAGAGGUGGCUUCCCCUCUGCCCUUUACAACUUGUCAUCCCUCAAUACCAUAAGUUUGACCCAAAGCCAGUUGUCUGGUAGUAUCAGGAGAGACAUAGGCCUUCUGCUUCCAAAUCUGCAAAUUUUAUAUCUGGCAGUUAAUCAGUUCACAGGUCCCAUUCCCGAUUCACUCUCCAACGUCACAAACUUAGCAGAAAUUGAUUUCUACGACAAUAACUUCACUGGACAUGUCCCGGCCAGCUUCGGAGGGCUUCAACACUUGAGCUGGCUCGGCCUUUGGUCUAAUUUUCUCGGAAGCGGCACAACCGACGGUCUAAGUUUCCUUGCUGAUUUGGCCAACUGCAGCAACCUUGAAUAUCUGGAUUUAGCACAUAACCAGUUCGAAGGCAAUCUGCCUGUUUCUGUUGGUAACUUAUCAUCCCAACUGAAUCAGCUACUACUGACGGGAAACAGAAUUCGUGGGAGAAUUCCUGAAGCAAUUGCAAACCUCUUUAGUCUACAUAAAUUAUUUAUGGACGAUAACAUGCUAACAGGCAACAUUCCAAUGUCUAUUGGGAGGCUAUCAAACUUGCAAUAUCUGAAUUUGGGCCGAAACAAGUUGACUGGACACAUACCUUCGACCAUGGGUAACAUCACCGGUCUGUGGCAUCUGGUCUUGGACAACAACAGCUUAGAAGGAAGCAUACCUUUGAGCCUCGGCGACUGCAAGUCCCUACAAUUUCUCUACCUCUUUCAUAACAAAUUCACCGGGACCAUUCCUAGCCACAUGAUCAGACCGUCCUCCCUCAUAAUACUUCUGGAUGUAUCUCACAACUCUUUGUCUGGGGCCCUGCCGGCCGAUGUUGGAAACUUAAAGAACCUCAUUUCUCUCAACGUUUCAUACAAUCAAAUUUCAGGUGAGAUUCCUACAACUUUGGGCAACUGUUUGGGAUUGGAAGAGCUGUAUAUGCAGUCCAACCAUUUUCGAGGACCCAUUCCUCAGUUCAAGGGGUUAAAAGGCAUCCGUUUUCUCGACCUUUCCAAUAACAACCUGUCAGGGCAAAUCCCAGAGUUUUUAGUUAACUUGUUGUCGUCACUGCAAUUCUUGAAUCUGUCUUUCAACAAUCUCGAAGGCGAAGUACCUGUACGUGGGAUAUUUGGAAACACUAGUGCCUUCGAAGUUGACGGCAACCGAGAGAUAUGUGGGGGCAUACCUGAACUGCGUUUGCCUUCAUGUCCAGCAAAAUCGUUCCCGAGAUCGACAAAGCAUAGACCUUCGAAGUGGGUGGUGGACAUAAUCAUUUGUGCUUCUUGUGCAGUGGCAUUACUGUCCUUAAUAUCUCUUUUCUGGUUGAGAAACUCGAAGAAGGAACAUCUGCCUGCCCGCUCCCUCGGCCAUUUUCACGAGAGAAUUUCGUAUGAUGCUCUAUUCAAAGCUACCGACGGGUUCUGUUCAAGCAAAUUGAUUGGUUCAGGUAAUCUUUAUAUGUAGACGAACAUUUAACCACAACAAAUGAGUACAGAGAACACCCUUCAUAGUUCAUACAGUAGUACCACAUUGCAUGACCGCAAUAAUUUUUAACUCUUGUUCAGGUAGUUUUGGCAAUGUGUUCAGAGGAACUCUUGGUCCCGACGGAAAAAUCGUGGCCAUCAAGGUUUUGAAUCUCCAGCAGAAAGGAGCUUUCAAGGGCUUCUUGGCCGAAUGCAAAGCACUCAGCAGCAUUCGGCAUCGUAACCUUGUUAAGAUCUUGACUGCUUGUUCGAGCAUCGACUCCCAUCGUAAUGACUUCAAAGCCUUGGUAUACGAGUUCAUGGUAAACGGCAACUUGGACAUUUGGUUGCACCCAAACGACGAACACAUGCAAUUCAAACCUUUGAGCUUCCUGCAAAGAUUGAACAUCACGAUCGAUGUGGCCUCUGCUUUGGAUUAUCUUCACCACCAGUGCCGAACUCCAAUCAUCCACUGUGAUCUGAAGCCAAGCAACAUUCUUCUCGACGAUGAUUUCACAGCUCACAUCAGUGAUUUUGGAUUGUCGAGGCUCAUUUUCAAUUCUAACAAAGACAUCUUUUCGGGUCAUCCUAGCUCCUCUGCUUUUCAGGGAACCAUGGGUUACAUUGCUCCAGGUACGGCUCUAAAGAUCACAAUUACAUUUACAUCCACAAAAUCGAAAGAUUUUCAAUGACCUUGUAGAGUAAUCGAGCUAACAGGAACUUUUUCUGGACUGGCAGAAUAUGGAAUGGGCGUUCGUCCAUCAACAAGUGGGGAUGUGUACAGUUUCGGAAUUCUCUUGUUAGAGAUGUUCACUGGAAGACGACCAACAGACAACAUAUUUAAAGAGAAUUUUAACCUUCAGAAGUUCGUCAAGUCAGUGUUGUCAAAGCGAGCAACGGGGAUGUUGGAUCAGUCAAUUUUCUGCGGAGAAGUAGGCGAAAGCAUGGACAAGGAGGGGAUAUGGAGAGACUGUGGAACCGACCAAGCCGAAUGUCUGAUAUCGGUUUUUGAGAUCGGAUUAAUUUGCUCAGCAGAAUCACCAAAAGACAGGAAGGACAUGAAUGGUGUCGCACGGGACUUGCUCUCAAUCAGAGACAAGUUUCUCAAAACCGGCAUCCAUGAGGAUAGAAUACAGAGCCCUGCACCAAGUAAAGCACCUUUUUAAGUCGCCAUAUGCUUGUAUCCUUGUAUCCCUACCAUUGCUUCGCUGUUCCACAAUGUCUUUGGAUUUAGUAAAUUGGCACGUAUGAUAACAAGUAUUGGGACAAUUGCUGACAGCCUGAUCGAUAUAUCCUCCUUUCUCUUAUCAUAUUUUGCAGGGGACAGGUGCGAGGAGGUGGCCUGUUCCACCUCCGGUUAUUGAGUGGGACGGGAGGAAACUGUAAAUAGAGGCGGGCACGACGUAGCUUGUUAGAGCCACGCUGCUCUUUCCAUGUCAAUGGCGGGCUAGUUUGGGCAUCUGCGAAGUCCUUCGUCCAUAACUGAGUUACCAGGGAGGGCCUUGGACUUUGAGGGGCUUCAGCUUGCUAGCGGGUGAGCCUCCGAACCAGCAGCUUCUGGUUGGUCAGUAAGCAAAACUAGCACGCUCUGCAUAAUAAAUAAAACAUGGACUUGGACUAUUCCUAUGGUUAUUUUCCUGUUAUGAGACAUCUAUAUGUACUUGGGUCCGGUCACGUUCUUGUGAGAUCCUAUGAAACCGUCCAUCAAGAACGAGAACCUUCCGAGAGUCCUCGAGGCUGUGACGGAAGGUCUCCAUGCACUGCCGUAAUGUAUGAAUGGAUUUCCUUCUUAUGUCCUCCAGCCAAAUUGUCCUUCUUUUCUGGGAAAGUAGAAACAGCAACGUUGAUACUGAUACUGUGAAUUCGGUUCUGCGACGACUCGGUUUUCUGCUUAUUCUAUGAUCUAUCCUGAGAACCCAGCGAUGGAUUCCUAGUUCCAUCGCCGAAAUCGGCUUUUACUUCGAGCCUUUCCGAUUUAGUCAGACAAUUUCUUUUAUAGAUUGUAUGCAUCACGCCCCCAAUUACAUGAUCCUAUUAAAAAAAAAAAAAAAAGAAGAAGAAAAUUUUACUAACAUGAUUUGCCGGCAAAGUACUUAAAAAAAAUGAAAAAUGAUGUAUUUGAUAACACCCGACAUGUUUGACGAUAAACUUAUAAAUGCAAUCAAUUUGAUCAGGAUGUCUGAAAAGGAGAUAUGAAUAGAAUAUCAAAAGCCGGAAUAAGUGAUCGGAAAAGAAAAUAGAGAGUACGUCAGAAUAUGGAAAAUUCUCUCAUACUUAUCUAUUCACAUUUUGAAAUUAGAGGUGACAAUUUUUUACGCUAGGGAUCAACAUUACUUGAACAUAAUAUGGAGAUAACUCAUUCGGGUUUGCGAUUGAACUGAUUAUCUAUAUGUGACAUUUGUGCCAAUUGAGUCUACCACUCAUUACCAAGAGGAGAAAGAAAGAGGAGAGGAAAGCUUUCAUAACCCCUUGAAUUAAUGCAAAUUUAGCUCUCCAAAGUAUCCAAAAUUGAUCCGAGUGACCCAAAUUUACCAUCACUUGGCUUGUCUCAUAUCCUUGGUGUUGGUUAAAGGUUUGGCCUGUCCUCUAGUAAGACAGGGUCUACGAAUGCAUUCUUUAUUUUAAUAUACCAAUACUUGCACGCCCAAUAUACCCAUAUUGGAACAGUAUAUUUAUUAAGCUUGUCCCCGGCUCUACCCUCUAAGUAUUAACCGUCCGAGAAAUCCCAAAGGUCCGGACGUUGCCUCAGACAAAGCUAUUUAAGGUCGCAAUUAGGCCAGGCUGGAAUAAGAGAAAAUCUCGAGAUGUAAGGAGUGACAGUUCAUAGAAAACAGAUGGCGUGGCUGAGGAGUUAAAAUCGCAACGAUACAAAUUGAAAAUGAGAGUUGAAUUCGAACAAUUUCCACCCAUUUCAUUUCAUUCCAAGGGUAAAUUAGUCUCCUCACUUUUAUGUCCUCUUCCCAAAAAGGAGGCUUUUUGACGGGUCGACCAUUCCCUUAGCCGGACUCUGAAAAAUCGAACUACCCUACCAACCUCCAGCAACGAGAUCCUCACGCAAUCGAACGCACCGCCCUGACGAUGACCAGCUGAUACAAUCUCGCAAUAAGUAAAUAUAAUGCCGAGUUGUAAAGGAGACAAAAAGUCAACAAUAUCACCAAUAUUUUUUGUGGAAAAACCAAAAUGGGAAAAAUGAGAAAUGGCCCAAAAACUUCCACCGAUCACCAAAAAUGGUAGGAUACACAAAGUUGUUCUCUAGUCACACAUUAAAGACAUAACAUCAAGAACACAAUGGUAUUUCCAUCACUACGAAGGUGAAUUUAAUAAAUGUCGCGACCAAAUUUUGGAUGCACUACUUAGGCUUUAGCUAAUGGAUUACUAAGCCUAAACAUAGCUGAGGCUCUCCCAAACCAAUACCAAUUCGUGAUUUAGGUUCAAGUUCUUAACAUGCAAUUGAUUUUUAAUUUAGAGUCGUCACUAAUCUAUUUUUGGCGAAUCGAUUAGAAACCCAAGUAACUCCUGCAAACCAAAGAUUUGUGAAUUCGGGAGUUGAUUACACCAGCUUUCACUAACGCCAUUUUGGUACAAUUUUCUUUUUAUUUAAAAAAAAAGUUUUGCAGACAGCUUGAAUUAAUUUUAAUUUAUUUUCUUAACAUGUGAGGCGAUCAUGCAGGUGUGCAAACCAUCAAUUUAAUACUCAAGAAAGCAAUGAAUAAAUCACAUAACUUACCUCAUAGCAACGAAAGCAUCUGUAAUGUUAGCUCAAAAUUCACAUCAAAAACUCUAAGUGAUUCACAAUCACUCAAUCUUUUUUAGGAUUUUUUUUUUUGUUUAAUGAAAUCUAAUUUAUGUGCAAUGCAAUUUAAUCAAAUGACCUAAUUCUAAUGACAGGCCAUAUAGAACUACUAGGUUCAUGCAUAUUUUUGUAUUUUUUUUAUAAAAAUUCUUAUUAAAAAUUGCUAAAAAAUAAAAAUUUAACUAAAGUGAGAUAUUAUCUAUUUUAAGUUAAGAUGUGAAUCCUAUCUUAACUUAGAAAUUUAUCUCGACAUGCAAUUUAAUUCACAGAUAUUAUUUAACCUAGAUACCAUGCAUUUUAAUAUAAUUAGAAAAGAAUCUAACUAUUUUAUCAUGCAAUUCUAUCUAGGAAAUCAAUUCUAAUAUACAUGAUAUGCAAAUGCAAUCUUUUUUUGUAUUUUUGGGGUAAAUAAAGCAAUUAAAAGAUAAGCACCACGGUCAUCAAAGAAUCAAAAAUAUUAUCCAUUGUUCGAAUUUGGAAACGAUAUCUAAUCAAACUUGAUUAUUUCGAUAAUAAAAUCGAUAAAUUGAUCUUAAGCCUUAAAGAUAAAGAUAUCAAUUUUAUUCCCGCAUGAUUAAUUAUUACAUCUAAAGUAUUAUAGAUGGAAUAAAAAAAAUUGGCGUGUGUUGCGUUUAAUCAAAAUUGGGAAUACGCCUAAUUGGAAUAUGCACGUAAAAUAUUGAAAAUGCAAUAAAAUAUCCAAAUCAAAUUUAGAUAAGAUAAUUACCUAAUUUCGCAAAAAAUGAUACCAAAUUUGAACCGAAUAGAAUCUGCUCAACGGGUGGUGGCACGGCGGAGCUUGGGUCUUUGCGACUCACGGGUGGACGGGAACGAGAUCACAGCAGGGCUCGAAUCGGUGGCUUCAAGGAUCACGGUAAUGGCUCGGGGUGUUGAAGAUCCGGAGUUGCUGAUGUUCAUUGGACCAGCUAGACGUGUUGUGGGCGACCAGCAACGACGGCAGGAGGAAAUCUGGAGUGGAAGGCCUGGUUCUUACGUGAAGUUGAAGCUGUUCUACGUCUGGAUUUCUCCUCUUCUUUUUUUGUCGUCUUUCGUUGAAUUGAUGAAUAAUAUUGGAGACGUCGGGCCAAGUCUGGGCAGCUCGUUGGUAAAGCGUCGGACGUAUGCAGAGACCAAGGAGAGAGAAGACUUCUCUCUUUUUUUGUUGUGCUUUUUGUCUCCUCUCUAAGCACCUACUCUCUUGUCUUUUUUUUUUUUCUUUUUUUUUCCUUUUGCUUAUGGACGCUUGCUGCUCAUCUUCGUGUCUUCAUCAUGUAGACUUUUAGAACCUACGAGAAGAACAUAAGACUUUUCUCACUAUAGUAGCCACCUCGUCCUGCUCUCUUUUACAAAUCCUAUCCCUCUACCAUGUGACCCCCACAGGGAGGCCCUGAGUUCUCUCUUUUUGUGGCCGUGUAUCUCAAUUGUGUGCCCCCCUCUUAAUUUGUCUCUUAGCGAGUCCUUUUUAUAGGCCAAGAAUCCCCUCCCGAAUAUUCUCCAUCAAUUUUAUCAUAUUGUCAAAAAUUCAAAAUUAUAAUAAGAUUUUUUUCGAAUUUCAAAUUUUAUAAAGAUGAACUCAUAAUAUCUCAUUGAUGAUAUUGAAAAAUCCACCGUCAUAUCACCAAAAAUAUCAAAUCUCCACUUCUCACAAGAUAAUCUCCGGUCAUCAAAAAAAGGGGCUUGGGCUAAUUUGUUCUCUUUGUGGGCUUAAUGCAACUCGUCAAAUUAAAACUCAGAACUACCAAUUCAAACCGUUACAAGUCUUAUGCAAAUGCAAAACAAAAUAUAUGCUCCUAAAACUAUAUGCUACGCAAUUUAAUUCUAAUUUAAUUUUUUUAGGGGUAAAAUUAAUCACUAAUUUUUAUGCAAUAAAUAAAUGACUUGAUCGCCAAAAUUUAGGUAUCAACAAUACAAAUGGAGGAUGAAACCCUAAUCGUGAUUGGAGAAUUUGGAGAAAGUUCUCAACGAAUGGAACCGAUCAACUUGUGCGCCCUUGGCCUCGCGAUAUUCAAAUUCGAGCCAAGUUGCAGCCCUAUUUAAGAGUCAAGCAAGUCAAGUCAAGCGCCGCUAGAUGUACUCUCAACGUUCAGGUCAAGUCAACUGCUAGAAGAGGUCUCAGCGACGUCCCCGGAAUGAUUCAAGACAGAGCCUAUCCAGGGUCCCAAUCGUAACCGUGUAGUCGGCUAAUUAAGUUUCGAUGCUUUCAACUUCAGAGCUCGCUUCUGUGGCCUUCUCUAUAAAUGGAACGUUUCAGGUCAAGCGAGGCACCAUCAUAGCUAUCUCAGCAUCUCCUCACUUACACUAGCAAACCCGAAAAUGAGUUCGAGCCAUUUCUGUUCAGUCGCCUUCCCUGCUGUCUUGAUCCUGGAGCUCAUGAUCACGAGCUUCGCUUCUUGUAGCCCUCCAGGGAAUGAGACCGAUAAAAUUGCUCUGCAAGAGUUCAGGUCCCUCUUAACAGAUGAUUCUGCAGGAACCUUGGCCUCCUGGAAUGAUUCCCUCCAUUUCUGCCGAUGGACUGGAGUCACUUGUGGUCUCAGACACCAACGAGUCACCGCCUUGAACCUAGAUGGACGAGCUCUGGCUGGGACCGUGUCCCCUUAUAUCGGAAACCUUUCGUUCCUCCGAUACCUGAACCUCGCAAACAACUCUUUCCAUGGUUUCAUUCCUCCUGAAAUCGGGCGCUUGUUCAGGCUUAAAAACCUGAUCAUGAGCCACAACGCCUUAGGAGGUGGAAUUCCUAGAAAUCUCUCCCUGUGUCUUAGCCUUGUGACUCUCGAGCUCGACUAUAAUCGUCUCCACAAUCCCAUUCCUUCCGAAUUUGGGUCACUGUCGAAACUCCAGAAGCUCUCGCUUCCGAACAACAAUCUCAUGGGACCGAUCCCCGCUUCCAUCGGAAACCUUUCCAACCUCGAAGAGCUUCAUCUAUGGAGCAACAACCUGACAGGAGGAGUUCCCAUUUCUAUAAGCCAAACGAGGCUUAAAAUUUUUGAGGCUGGUGAAAACCAGCUGAUAGGUGGCUUCCCCUCAGCUCUUUACAACUUGUCAUCCCUCGAUACCAUAAUUUUGACCCAGAGCCAGUUCUCUGGUAGUAUCAGGAGAGACAUAGGCCUUCUGCUUCCAAAUCUGCAAAUUUUAUAUCUGGGAUUUAAUCAGUUCACAGGUCCCAUUCCCGAUUCACUCUCCAACGUCACGAACUUAGCAAAAAUUGAUAUCCUCAGCAAUAACUUCACCGGACGUGUCCCGGCCAGCUUCGGAGGACUUCAAAACUUGAGCUGGCUCAACCUUGGCUUUAAUUUUCUCAGAAGCAGCACAACCGACGGUCUAAGUUUCCUUGCUGAUUUGGCCAACUGCAGCAACCUCGAAAUGCUGGAUUUAGAAUAUAACCAGUUUGAAGGCGAGCUGCCUGUUUCUGUUGGUAACUUCUCAUCCCAACUGAAUCAGCUAUUACUGUCAGGAAACAGAAUUCGUGGUAGAAUUCCUGAAGUAAUUGCAAACCUCUUUAGUCUACAUAAAUUAUCUAUGGACGAUAACAUGAUAACAGGCAAUAUUCCAAUGUCUAUUGGGAGGCUAUCGAACUUGCAAUCUCUGAGUUUGGGCCAAAACAAGUUGACUGGACACAUACCUUCGACCAUGGGUAACAUCACCGGUCUGAUAAGGCUAUACUUGUACAACAACAGCUUAGAAGGAAGCAUACCUUUGAGCCUCGGCGACUGCAAGUCCCUGCUAUAUCUGCUCCUCUGUCAUAACAAAUUUACCGGAACCAUUCCUAGCCACAUGAUCAGACCGUCCUCCCUCUUAAUACAUCUGAAUGUAUCUCACAACUCUUUGUCUGGGCCCCUGCCACCCAAUGUUGGAAACUUAAAGAACCUCAUUUCUCUUGACGUUUCAUACAAUCAAAUUUCAGGUGAGAUUCCUACAACUUUGGGCAACUGUUUGGGAUUUGAAGAGCUGUAUAUGCAGUCGAACCAUUUUCGAGGACCCAUUCCACAGUUCAAGGGGUUAAAAGGCAUCCGUUUUCUCGACCUUUCCAAUAACAACCUGUCAGGGCAAAUCCCAGAGUUUUUAGUUAACUUGUCGUCCUUGCUGCAAUUCUUGAAUCUGUCUUUCAACAAUCUCGAAGGCGAAGUACCUGUACGUGGGAUAUUUGGAAACACUAGUGCCAUCAAAGUUGACGGCAACCGAGAGCUAUGUGGGGGCAUACCUGAACUGCGUUUGCCUUCAUGUCCAGCAAAAUCGUUCCCGAGAUCGAUAAAGCAUAGACCUUUGAAGUGGGUGGUGGACAUAAUCAUCUGCGCUUCUUGUGCAGUGGCAUUACUGUCCUUAAUAUCUCUAUUCUGGUUGAGAAAUUCAAAGAAGGAACAUCUGCCUACCCGCUCCUUCGGCCAUUUUCACAAGAGAAUUUCCUAUGAUGCUCUAUUCAAAGCUACCGAUGGAUUCUGUUCAAGCAAAUUGAUUGGUUCAGGUAAUCUUUAUAUGUAGAUGAACAUUUAACUACAACAAAUGAGUACAGAGAACACACUUCAUAGUUCAUACAGUAGUACCACAUCGCAUGACCGCAAUAAUUUUUAACCUCUUGUUCAGGUAGUUUUGGCAAUGUGUACAGAGGAACUCUUGGUCCCGAUGGAAAAAUCGUGGCCAUCAAGGUUUUGAAUCUCCAGCAGAAAGGAGCUUUCAAGGGCUUCUUGGCCGAAUGCAAAGCACUCAGCAGCAUUCGGCAUCGUAACCUUGUUAAGAUCUUGACUGCUUGUUCGAGCAUCGACUCCCAUCGUAAUGACUUCAAAGCCUUGGUAUACGAGUUCAUGGUAAACGGCAACUUGGACAUUUGGUUGCACCCAAACGACGAACACAUGCAAUUCAAACCUUUGAGCUUCCUGCAAAAAUUGAACAUCACGAUCGAUGUGGCCUCUGCUUUGGAUUAUCUUCACCACCAGUGCCGAACUCCAAUCAUCCACUGUGAUCUGAAGCCAAGCAACAUUCUUCUCGACGAUGAUUUCACAGCUUACAUCAGUGAUUUUGGAUUGUCGAGGCUCAUUUUCGAUUCUAACAAAGACAUCUUUUCGAGUCAUCCUAGCUCCUCUGCUUUUCAGGGAACCAUGGGUUACAUUGCUCCAGGUACGGCUCUAAAGAUCACAAUUACAUUUACAUCCACAAAAUCAAAAGAUUUUCAAUGACCUUGUAGAGUAAUCGAGCUAACAGGAACUUUUUCUGGACUGGCAGAAUAUGGAAUGGGCGUUCGUCCAUCAACAAGUGGGGAUGUGUACAGUUUCGGAAUUCUCUUGUUAGAGAUGUUCACUGGAAGACGACCGACGGACAACAUAUUUAAAGAGAAUUUUGACCUUCAGAAGUUCGUCAAGUCAGUGUUGUCAAAGCGAGCAACGGGGAUUUUGGAUCAGUCAAUUUUCUGCGGGGAAGUAGGCGAAAGCAUGGACAAGGAGGGGAUAUGGAGAGACUGUGGAAUCGACCAAGCUGAAUGUCUGAUAUCGGUUUUCGAGAUCGGAUUAAUUUGCUCAGCACAAUCACCAAAAGACAGGAAGGACAUGAAUGGUGUCGCACGGGACUUGCUCUCAAUCAGAGACAAGUUUCUCAAAACCGGCAUCCAUGAGGAUAGAAUACAGAGUCCUGCACCAAGUAAAGCACCUUUUUAAGUCGCCAUAUGCUUGUAUCCUUGUAUCCCUAGCAUUGCUUCACUGUUCCACAAUAUCUUUGGAUUUAGUAAAUCGGCUCGCAUGAUAACAAGUAUCGGGACAAUUGCUGAGAGCCUGAUCGAUGUAUCCUCCUCUCUUUUCAUAUUUUGCAGGGGACAGGUGCGAGGAGGUGGCCUGUUCCACCUCUGGUUUUUGAGUGGGACGGGGGGAAACUGUAAAUAGAGGCGGGCACGACGUAGCUUGUUAGAGCCACGCAGCUCUUUCCAUGUCAAUGGCGGGCUAGCUUGGGCAUCCGCGAAGUCCUUCGUCCAUAACUGAGCUACCAGGGAGGGCCUUGGACUUUGAGGGGCUUCAGCUUGCUAGCUGGUGAGCCUCCAAACCAGCAGCUUCUGGUUGGUCAGCAAGCAAAACUAGCACGCUCUGCAUAAUAAAUAAAACAUGGACUUGGACUAUUCCUAUGGUUAUUUUCCUGUAAUGAGACAUCUAUAUGUACUUGGGUCCGGUCACGUUGUUGUGAGAUCCUAUGAAACCAUCCGUCGAGAACGAGAGCCUUCUGAGAGUCCUUGAGACUGUGAUGGAAGGUCUCCAUGCACUCCUGUAGUGUAUGGAUGGAUUUCCUUCUUAUGUCCUUCAGCCAACUUGUCUGUCUUCUUUUCUGGGAAAGUAGAGACAGCAACGUUGAUACUGAUACUGUCCAAUCAGUUCCGCAACGGCUCAGUUUUCUGCUUAUUCCAUGAUCUGUCUUGAGAAUCCAGCAAUGGAUUCCUAGUUCCAUAUUUGAGAACAGCUCUUACUUCUAUCCUUUCCAAUUUAGUGGGUCAAUUCCUUUUAAGGGGUUAGUCUAUGGAAGUUUAUGAGCAAAUUUGGGUAGUAAAUAAUCGCCGGUUAUUCUUUUUGAUCUUUAGAAAAGGAUUAGAGAUUGCAUGCCUCGUGUCACCAGUUAAACGAGUUUAUUCAAAAAAAGAAAAUUUUACUAACAUGGAUUGCGGCAAAGUAUUUGAAUUUUUAUUUUUUAGAAUGAUAUAUUGGACAGCACCCGACAUAUUCGAUAAUGGACAUAUAAAAUCCUAAAAUUUAUAAAAUUGGAGCAAUCGAAACUCCACCUAACUUGACUAACAUAAAAUGAAGCCCUCGCUGCCCGGCUAUUCUUCUUCUUGUCUUUUUUUUUGGUUAAUUUUAACUUAAUUCUUGUUUAAUUUUAACAAAUUUUUUUAUUAAAAUCAGAUUUUGGAACCUCUAAAGGCCCAAUACCAUAUAACACUAGUAUCAGAGCUGGAGAUCCUAAGUUCGAAUUUUUUCAAGCCCCAUAUGCCUCCCUAAGUAAAUUUCCAAGCUUGGUACUAGGCAAAAGAAAAUGAAGUGUUAGAAUAUUUAAAUAAUAAAUCACGCCUUCAUCAAAUAACUUAAGUUUUUAGAAUAGUUGGUUGAUUUCCACAAAAUCUCACAAUGCCUAAAAACACUAAAGCUACAAACCAACAGGGCAUAGAAAUAAUCCAGGUUAAAUACAUAGGGACUAUGCACUUUUGUGUUCAUACAUCGCCCACAAAAAAUAGAGACAAAAGAAUAGGUAGCCCAAAAAAUUGGUGUAAAGAAUAGAACCACAAAUAGUUAAUGUUUCACCAACCAUGGCUCCUUUUCCCUUCUAUUUUCCCCUAUUUUGGGUCAUUUUUAUCGGGAAAGCUGAGUAUUAUAUUUACAUUCAGAUUGAUUAUACUUGAAGAAACCAACAUUCCCCAUCAAGUGUGUAUAAGCAUUUGUCCACACGGGCAGGUUGCUUACAUGAAUGCAUGUGGCCAAGGCCCUACAUGUUAACCUUCCUCAGUUCUCAAAUGCCAUAAUUCUUCUCCGGAUUACCUUAGCACUACAAUAUCAUCCAUAGGGUGUCUUAAACAGCACCAUCAUGUUUUAUAUCGCUUCUGAAAAGGGCCGGAGAUGCAAUCUCUAGGUCUCAUUUUCCAUUUUUUUGCAAAUCCCUGUGCUCAUCAUCGCAACUUAUACACAAACUACUUAUUCUGGCCAAUUUAUGUGGUAGCAUGUCCAUUGACUGCCAAUGGAGAACCAGGAAACGAAGAAUCUAACUAAGUUUCCAACGAAACAAAGGCCGCGGCUGCAAAUGCUUUCUUCAGUCAUUCAAUAUCAACUCCGAAACCUCCUCUAGCCACCCCGUAGUCACCUCCACCUUCCAAAUUUAUUUUGAAAUGUCUGCAUUACUAAUAAAAAAAAUCAUAUUCAGCUCAGUUUUCUUAUCCAUUACCACCAUCCAUCUUAAACUUCCUCAAUUCCUUAAAUCAAAAUCAAAAUUAACGGCAAUAGUCGUCACCCAAGGAUUCAAUUACAGGCCAGAAAGCCGAAACGAUCGACAGCAAGAUGCUAGAACGAGCCGACUAGCCGACUUCCGACAAGCUCAAGCAACACGUAAAGCGCCACUCACCAUGACGAUGCUCUUGCAGAGGUGAUCGAUGGAGUGCGCGCCGAGGAUCCUCCGCCUCUCCUCGUACGACUCUCUUGAAAGCGAAGUCCGCGACGCCAUUGCUCCCGAGAAUCACCGAGAGGCGGGCUUCGGUGCCGGAGCCGGAGCCGGAGCCAGAAUCCGAAUCCGCGACGGCGACGGCUGUCCGGAGACGGAGAAGGGGGAGGGACAGAAUCUCCGGUUGAGGAGAGCGAGCUCGAGGUUGGAAAUGCGCUCCAGUACUCGAGACUGUGCUCGCUCGAGGUCGUCCAACGCCUCCAUUGUCCUCCGGUAUUCGGCGAUCCUCCUCCGCCUGCUUGAAUUGAGAGCUCGCUUCCGCCGCCGUUUGGUUUUUUGGGUUAACGGGAGGGGCUUUUCCGAAAAUAGUUUAUUCUCAAGGGACCAAAACUAAAGGGAAAAUUUUAAAUAAAGAUAUGAAGUGUCACCGUUUUCUCAAAUAAGGAUUCGAAAUGAACUUUAUUUCAAAUAAUGGCUUGAAGUAGCCAAAUCUUUUCAAAUAAUAGCUUGAAAUAUAACUUCUUUCAAAUAAGAGUAUGAAGUGACCAUAUCUAUUUAAAAAAAAAGGUCUAACUUCUCAUACUAAAGGAUGUUUUUAUUUUUGUUCUAUUUUUUUUUUCUUUCUUCUUUUUUACCCUUCCCCUUGCCAGACUCAAGCAAGGGCCACUCUCGUCGGUGCCAGACGAGGGUUGCCCUUGCCUAAGUUGGGUAAGGCGAAGGUCACUCGAGCCAGAUCUAGCGAGGGUAGCCCUCGCACGAUGUUAGCGAGGGCAAUCCUCACCAGCCCAGGCAAAGGCGACCCUCGCCAAAUUUGGCAAGGGCAACCCUCACCCUCGCUUGAGGUGGGCAACUUCCAUCGGCCAUCAACAGCGAUGGCCUCCGAUGGCCAUGGGAGGGAAGAGGAAAAAAAAAGAAAAAGAAAAAGAAAAAAGGAAAAAAAUAUAUUGUUAUAAAUUUUUUUACCAAAAUACCCUUUCUUCAAUGAUCGAAAUAAUUACUAACUAGCGAAAGAUCCUUAUUUGAGACGAUUUGACCACCUAAGACCCUUACUUGAAACGAUUUGGUCACUUCGGACCUUUAUUUGAAAUAAAGUCCACUUUGAGCCUUCGUUUGAAGAAUGAUGAUACUUCAGUUUUUUAUUUAAAAUUUUCCCUAAACUAAAUUUGAAAGGAGCUACUUUUCCCUUCUUUUUUUGAAUAUGUUCAUUGGAAAUCUUAAAACUUGUCAUGAAUAAGAAAUUUAGUAUCCAAACUUACAAAAAAUGUAAUAAAUUCUAGAAAUUGUCCAAUUGGUGUAAUAAAUUCUAACUUUCAACUCACAUUCAUAUUUUUACCCCAAGUAUUUACAAAGCGUAAGAGUCAAAAUCCACAGUUGAAGCUAGUUGUCUCAUCCCAACCCCCUGCCUCCCUCUUUCCAUGUAAGUCAAAUAAACCGCUCUAACAAGUUUUAGAACUUAAUUCAAAUUUUAGGAUUGAAUUAUACUUUUGUGACAAAUUUUAAGACUUCUUGUGCACAUAUCUUUUUUUUUUUACUAGUUAACAAGAUGGGGGCUGACUAUCAGUACUGGCAAUUCACAUUAGGUCAUAUCAUAAUGAUUCUGGAUGCGCUAUAGGACGCUUAGUUUAGCUAUAAUUAUCGCCCAUGCUCCGAAGAUCCAAAAUUAGCGAGCUUGUCAACCAAAUUAACAUGAUGUUAAUCAAGAAGUCCUUUUGCAUGAGAUAUGCCGCAAUUAGGCAUCGUGGCAUGAGCCGUUCAAAGGCUUACUUGUGUCGUAAAUUAAUUAAUGAUCUCAUGAGAGAUAUGUGAUCCUUUUACCACUAGAACAAUCACCCCGAUAUGGAAGGAAGUUUAUUAGAUUGACCACGUUGGAUUGCAUUUAUUUAUAUACAUGCAAGACACACACACACGAAACUCUUUUUUUUUUUGGAAAUUUUUAGAGCUUAUAUGUGCUCUUGAGUUUGACAUAUUUAAGCCUAGAGAUGACCAAAGUAAGUUCAAUUUCAAUUUUGGGGGGCUCUUUUAGCGAGUUAAAUUCUAUGGACUAGAUGAAGAACGGAGAACCUCUAAUGGGUGUUUCCCAUUACUAGGCAAAUAACUUGGGUGCUAGAGACGUCUUGGAUCCAAAAUUCUACAAACCUGAAAAGAGAUGAUGGUCCAAGGGAUUGUUCACCAUAGGUGUUGAGGAGGAUUGGUUUGUGGUCUGAAACAAUUGCAGUGAGGUGAGUGACGAUGGCUUAUGAAAGCUAACGAUGCUAAUCUAGGUUGGAGUUGCACCUGUCAAUUGUCUAAGACACCCAGGAAUGAAUUUGUUGGAGACCUUUGACUGAUUCCAUGGAUCCAUUGGGAAUCGGAUCAAGUGGGUCCAUGGAACCAAUGAAUGAUUUCCGAUUCUGAUUUUUUUGAAAAUGGUAUUUAGUUUGCUGUUUCUGGUUUUAGGAUAGGAACUGUCUACCCUAAAUUUGAUCAUCAGGUAGAUGUAUUGUUUCAUGCAAUAAUCAUUUCAUCCACUAGGGGAAGUUAUGAGCACCAAAGCAAGAACGCCUAUUUGGAUUGGCUUUUUAAUUUUUAUUUAAUACAAAACAAAUGGUUGAAAAUUUUCAAUUUUAUAAAGUUUUUAAUUCUUGAAACUUUCACAGUACUUAAAUGUUGAUAUAUGAAUUCACAUACAAAUUUCCCAUAAUUUUCUAAAACUAGAAUGACAUUCUAAACUUUAGGAAAAUUUUUAAAUAAAGGCUUGAAGUCAUAUUAUUACCUUAAAAAUGACCAAAUGUGAUUCUGUUUUAAAUAAUAACUUGAAGUGAUCAAAUUAAUUUUAAAUAAGGGUCUAUCGAGACAUUUUUGGGAGAUUAGUACAGGGACAAUUUUGUCAGAAAAUUAAGAUUAGGUAAAAAAUGAAGAAAAUCACCGAAUUGAAUUGGCAUUGUGGUUCUCAAUACGGUUCUUCCUUCAAUUUUUUGCGUUACCUUCUUCUCCUCGGCUGCUCAAGCAAAUGGCUCUCACCCUCUCCUUGCCUGGUCCUAGCCGCGACUCGCCUGUUCCUCGCAAGCUUCAGUCCGUCGUCAUGGCUUCUCUGUCAGGUCCCAUCCUCCACGAGCUUUUAAGUCCUUCACCAGCUUCUGGUCCGUCGUAGACCAGCUUUGACUCCGUCGUUCGCGAGCUUCCGAGUCCUUUUCAGUGUCUCUUUCGCCCUAGUGCUUACUUUUCUUCUCUUAGUGCCGGUCAACUGGAGAUAAUUUGGUGGUUGCCUUCAUUAACUCCAUCAAUGAUGGGAGGGCAUGGGCCAUGAGCGCAAGCUCUGGUCAACAAAUUGUUGAAGAAUAGGGCACGAGUGAUGAGAACUCGAGCUCUAGCUUCCUAUGGUAAUAGCUGCAUAAAGGUCUGCUUUCUUGCAAUUGUCUGAAUAUCUUGAAGCCUUCUUUUCUUCUUUUAGUGCCGGUCAACUGGAGAUAAUUUGGUGGUUGCCUUCAUUAACUCCAUCAGUGAUGGGAGGGCAUGGGCCCUGAGCUCAAGCUCUGGUCAACAAAUUGUUGAAGAAUAGGGCAAGAGUGAUGAGAACUCGAGCUCUAGUUUCAUAUGGUAAUAGCUGCCUUAAGGUCUGCUUUCUUGCAGUUGUCUGAAUAUCUUGAAGCCUAGUCUAGUUAUGGUGAUUAAAACAAGCACUGAUUAAUGUUGUUUACUCUAACAUUGUAGCAAGGAAAUUGCGGCUUUUUCGAUUGAAUUGAUCCCCCCACCAGCGAUGAGAACACUUGCUGAAUCGUCGUCUAGGCUCUUGCAAAAAAGAACGAGAUCAAUUGAAGCUGAUGUGUUUUAACGGAGUACAAAGAGGGAAGAUUCUAUUGGGUGUUUUAAUUAUGGCUUUUUUUUUCAGUCGUGCACUCGAAAGAACAGCAUCCUCUUGCCUUAUAUGGGAAUCAUCUUUAAGUAUGAAUAUCUUUCAUUCACGGCCUCAUGAUCGGAGGUCGGUUGAAUAUGAGUGAAGCUUGCAGAUGAUGGACUUGAGGGAAAAUGACAUCACAAAUAUCAUAACUUCACGAUAAGUUAAUAUAAUGCAAUCCCGGGUCAACAUUUCACUAGGAACCAACCCAAUCUAAGAUCAAUAUCUCCCUCAAAACUAAAUUGAUUGAAAUCGACUUAACCUCGACAAUGGCCGGCUGAUACAAUCUCGCAAUAAGUAAAUAUAAUGCUGAAUUGUAAAGGAGACACAAAGUCAACAACAUCACCAAUUUUUACGUGGAAAAUCCAAAACGGGAAAAAUGAGAAAUGGCCCAAAAACUUCCACCGAUCACCAAGAAUGGUAGGAUACACAAAGUUCUUCUCUAGUCACACAGUAAAGACACAACAUCAAGAACACAACGGUAUUUCCAUCGCUACGAAGGUGAAUUUAAUACAAAUGUAGGAUGAAACCCUAAUCACGAUUGGAGAAUUCGAAGAAGGUUCUCAAUGAAUGGAACCAAUCAACUCGUGCGCCUUUGGCCUCACGAACGAUGUAUUCAAAUUCGAGCCAAUUUUGACAACAUUUGGCCUUUGAAUUAGGACUGCCAAGUUACAGCCCUAUUUAAGAUUCAAGCAGGUCAAGUCAAGUGCUAGAAGAGGUCUCAGCGUCGUCCCCGGAAUGAUUCAAGACAGGGCCUAUCCAGGGUUCUCAAUCGUAACCGUGUAGUUGGCUAAUUAAGUUUCAAUGCUUUCAACUUCCAAGCUCACUUCUGUGGCCUUCUCUAUAAAUGGAACUGUUGGGAAUAACGGAUCCCCGAAAACCGGAUUCGACACUAAAUCGAACCCCUAAAGCAAUGCGGAAGACGAAGCCCGGGAAAAGCACGUAUCACCGAUCGUAAAGCACACCACGGAUUCGAGCGUACCUUGUUAGCCAUAGAUUAGACACCAAUGCUGAAGUGAGGAAGAGAAAUUGGCCCUGUUCGAUCCGAUGAUGCCAAUUCACCUUGGAAGGGGAGAAGAAAGUGGCCUUGUGCUUACUGUUUUUUUUUUUUUAGAGAGAGCGUUGAAAAGAGAGGGAGACGUACGUACGUUAUUUCCAAAAGGUGCGUUCUCCCUCUCUCUCCUCCCUUUUAUACGACCCUCCAUCCACGGGCCCUAUUCCCGUGGGCUGGGCUUUUAGGCCCAACAUGGGAGGACAGGCCUUAAGCCCAUCUCAUAUAAAACCAUCAUCUCCCACUCGCACAUGGUGGGCUAAACAGGAUUCUCUUUACCUCUCUUCAACAUUCAUACCGGUAAAUAAUCCGUGCGACCAGCAUACUUUGAGAGCUCGUUGCCAUACAUCUGUUAGGAAUAUAUAGCAGCUCAUAAUGGGUAUCACACUCCGAGUAGAUUUAGUAUGCAGCACCCUAGAUCGAUUGAUCAUAUUUAUAUCUCUCUUGAUCUCUUUUAAACAAUGAUAUAUCUAUUGUAUUCACAAUUAUGAUUAUCACAAAGACAGUCAUAAUUGGUUAACCGGUGAAUACAAAAACUACAAUGUGAUUCUCCAAAUUCGAUAUUCCUCUUCCCUUCAAACUCUCAAUUUCAGUUCAACUUGUUUUUUUAGAAAUGUCCUAUUAGAUCGAAUUAACUCAUGACCAUUGACAACAUCCUAAGAUAGCAAACACUAAAUAGAAAUCUUGAGAAUAAGUAAGAGUCAUGAGGGGACUAAAAAAUUGAGGAACUCUUUUCCUCAAGAGUCUCACACGACAUAAAAGUUGAGAUCAAACUUUUGCCACUCUUAUUGGUCGUUUCAUGCAUACGUAGUAUGAAAUACAUAUUACGGUAUUAACUCCUUUCCCAUGGAGCGUAUGUCUAUACCUUUCAAUACCGUACAGAUGAUAGUUUAGACAUACCCAAUGUCUAACUUGAGUUCACGUAUCUACUCAUUCGCAAAAUUCAUCAGAACUCACAUCUGGCAUCAUAGACUGAUAAAGUAAAAUAUGUGGGGUAUUUUACUUUCGGACAUAGUAAGUAUUAUGUCCUCAUCUUAAUACCCAGUUAAGGCGACAUACGUAUUUUAAGCUGAGCUCUCGAUUAUCACCUAGAUAAUAAGCUUAAAAAUAGUCUCAUCUCUAUUUAUCACACAGUAAAUAGAGGCAAUUACCCGUGUGAGUGGGCUAAUCUUAUAUAUGUCCGACAUACUUCCUCAACUUAAAAUAAUACACUAAGCAUUAAGAUGCAUAAAGAUCAAACAAAGAUUCAUAGGCAUCAAUGAUGAAAACACAAAUUCAUCAAAUGUGAACACUUAGGGAAAUUACAAUAUAGUACAUCAGACUCUACGCAAUCCUAGAGAUUUUACAUGGCCACAAAACACAUCUCUAGGUAUUGGCUUUGUUAUAGGAUCUGCUACCAUUCUAUGCAUAGAUAUGUACUGUAAGUUCACAUCAUUUUGUGCAACCAUAUUUUUGAUAAAAUUAUACUUGGUAUCUAUAUGUUUGGUCUUGCCAUGAUAUUUUAGAUUUUUGGUGUACGCUUUUGCUGCUUGGCUAUCACAGUUAACCAACAAUGAAUCUGCAGCACUUCAAAUAGCACAUAAAUAAUCCAAUAAUCUCUUAAGCCAAACAUCUUCUUUUAUUGCUGCUGAUAAUGCCACGAACUCAGUUUCCAUCGUGGACAAGGCUAUACACUUUUGUUUCUUACUGCUCCAAUAUAUGGUGCCAUUAUUCGGUAAGAAAACAAACCCAGAGGUAGAUUUUCUUUCAUCUAAAUCUCCUCUCCAACCAUCAUUAGAAUAACCUUUGAGUUGCAGAUCAUUUCCAUAAUAACUCAACGUAUAAUCAGCAGUCCCCUUUAGAUACUUUAGUAUUCAUUUAACGGCUUUCUAACGUGCUUGACCUGGAUUGGAUUGGUAUCUGCUCACCAUUCCAACUGCAAAACAUAUGUCAGGUCUUGUACACAUCAUAGCGUACAUCAAGCUCCCAACAGCACUAGCAUAAGGAACAUAUUUCGUUUGUUCCUUCUCUUAUGGAGUCAUUGGACACAGUUUUUGGCUCAAUCAUUCACCUUUUGCAAUAGGAGUGUCUUUGGGUUUACAAUCCCAUAUCCUUCAAUUCAAAGUUGGAAGACAACCAACUCUUGACGUUGUUAACAAACUCCAUAUUACUUCCGGCAAUUAGUAUAUCAUCAACAUAUAAUGAUAUGAUCACAAAUUGAUCAUUGGAUCUUUUGAUAUAUAUAUAUACAAUGAUCCUCAUCUAUCAUUGUAAAGUCAUAUGCCAUUAUGACAUUAUGAAAAUGUAUAUACCAUUGUCUUGACGACUGCUUAAGGCCAUAUAUCGACCUCCAAAGUCGACAUACCUUUUCUUCUUGGCCUUUCACUAUGAAACCAGCAGGUUGUUCCAUAUAUAUUCCUUCCUCUAAUUCUCCAUUGAGGAAAGCAGUCUUUACAUCCAUUUGAUGUAACUUAAGAUCCAUACUAGCCACUAUUACCAGAAUUAUGCGAAUCGAGGUAAAUCUCACUACAGGAGAAAAUGUUUCUUCAUAAUCAAUUCAUUCCUGUUGAUUAUAUCCCUUCGCCACAAGGCGAGCCUUAUGCCUUUCUAUCGAGCCAUCAGCCUUUCACUUUAUUUUGAGAACCUACUUGUUCCCAAUAGUUCUGCGUCAUUUUGAAAGAUCAACCAGUUCCCAGACUUGGUUUGACUUCAUUGACUCCAUCUCCUCUUUCAUUGCAUAAAUCCAUUUUUCCUUACUAGGGCAAUUUAGAGCCUCAUUAAUAUUUCUUGGCUCAUCCUCAUUUUGCGGAGUAAUCAUAAAAGUUUCCCUUUCAAUGUCAAAACUUCGACGGGGAAUACUUUGGCAACUUGUUCGCUAUAUGGGAGAUUGUACACUUAGCACAUCAUUCACAUUUAUGCUCCCACUCGGAUUAGAUAAUGACGAUAUCAUCUCAUUAUGUGGUUGUAAUUGAGAAUGAGUUGAAUUCAAUUCAUCACUUCUCAUAUUACUCCCACUUGGACGAACUCCACUAAUAUCAUUAUCUUGAUCCAAGGUUUCAAAUAGGAACUAAUCUUCCCCUAUUUCGCCCUUCUUAGUAAAUUUAUCCUCUAAGAAUGUGAUAUCACGUGAUUCAAAUUCAAUUAUACUCUCACUUUCCUGCUCACAUAUGAACACAUACCCUUUCGAGUAUUCGGAGUAUCUCAUUAAAAUACUCUACUUUCUUUUAGGACCCAAUUUCCCAAACUUGUGAGAGGACUUAUGAGUAUAGGCAGCAUAACCCCAUGGCUUAAGAAAACUUAAGUUCGGUUUUCUACCUGUCCAUAACUCAUAUGGAGUGGAACUAACUGAUUUGGAAGGCACCUGGUUAAGUAUAUAGGCAGCAAUUAACAACGCAUCACUCCAAAAAGUGAUAUGUAAGUUAGCAUGUGCCAUCAUGGACCUAACCAUUUCCAGUAGAGUUCUGUUUCUUCUCUCUGCAACACCAUUUUGUUGAGGAGUAUAUGGAAUAGACAAUUGUAUUUCUAUUCCUUUUCAUCACAUUAUUUUCUAAACUCAUCAGAUAAAUAUUUUCGACCUCGAUCGGAUCUCAAUACUUUUAUUUUCUUGUCUAAUUGAUUUUCUACCAAGCUCAUUAAACCUUUUGAAACAACUUAUUGCUUUAGAUUUAUGAGAAAUCAAAUAGACAUAUUCGAAUCGAGUAUAAUCAUAUAUAAAAGUGAUGAAAUAAACAGCCCCAUGCCUUCCUCUCACAUUCAUUGCACCACAGACGUCAGAAUGGAUUAAAUGCAAAGGAAAUUCAGCUCUUUUAUCUUUUCCAAAUGGUUUCCUUGUCAUUUUCCCUACUAGGCAAUGCUCACAUAUGUGCAAAUCGACUCUUUCAAUGUUGCCCAACCAGCCUUCUUUGGCUAGUCUAUUCAUACAUUAUUGGCCAAUAUGACCAAGUCUAGCAUGCCACACAUUCACAUCAUUAUCAUAUGAAGUAGAAGACGUGAAACAAGGGAAUAACAAACAUUGACAUCACCACAGUCAACAUUUAGUACAAUAAAACCAUCUAGAAAGUGACCACAACCAUAGUAGUUUGUAUCCAAAAUACAAAUUUACACCGGUAUUACGGAAGUUCACACUAAAACCAAGCUUAACCAACAUAAAAAAACAGACACUUAAAUUUCAACGAAUCUCCGGAGCAUAUAGAACAUCAUGUAGGAACAAAGUGCGUCCAUCACGCAUGUUCAAUUGGCAGGUGCCAAUCCCUUUAACUUCAUCUCUGGAGUUAUAUCCCACAUAAAUCCACUUAGUUCCAGUUGGUACUCGUCGAAAUUCCACGAAUGAUCCUCUAUCCUUCGCUACAUCGUCUGUUGCUCCUGAAUCUACAGUCCACAAAGGAUUGGAUUCAGCUAAUAAUGUAGAACUUGACACAAAAGCAAAGUUCUCAAAUGUACAAGAGGUGUUUACCUUCUUUGGCUCACGACAGUCGCGAGUAUAGUGACCCUUCUUGUCACAAUUGUAACACCUCACCCUUGACAUUUUCUUCACUUGAGGACGUUUUCCUCUCUUGUGUUGGUUAACUCUUGAUCUCUUGCAAUAAGGACUUGAUCAUUUGCAUUCCCACAUAUUGAACGAAUCAAUACGCUUGCGCUUAGAGCUCAAAGCCCUUUCUGAGCUAGAACCAGCAUUAUAAAUAUCUAUUUUCGGCUCACAUGUCGUCAAGCGGUCCUCUACCAGCUCAAGGUGGCGCACAGCAUCCUCAAGAUCUUCCAUAACAUGGUCAAGAGCUUCUAGUGCUUCUUGCUUUUCCAGCACAUAUUGAAUCUUCAUAUUCAAUAUUUCACAAUUGUUGCCGUUCACAUCAGCAAUUACGUUCUUAGUUGCUGAAUCUAUCAAUUUGAACACAUCAGACAUAUAUGCACGAAUAAUUAAUGCCUAUCAUUUAUGCAUCCACUUUGCACAGACCCAUCAUAUCAAUGAAUAAUUUCAAGUAAGGUUUCAUAAUCAAAAGGUCACUACGUUUCCAAUCAUCCUCCAAAAAUCUUAACUUAAAACUAUUAUUAAUAUAAUUAUCUUAUGCAAAAUAAAUUCUAUGAAGUUACAAAAAAUUCUAUGAACUACCCACAGCAAUCAGCAAUAACAGAAAGCAACAGAUAAUUGACAUCCAAUAAAAUAAUAAUGCUUUCAACUAAUACAAUAAUCCAUUACACUAAGUAAUAUAUCCAAAAUGAAAUAUUAACAUAAAAAGAGAUAUUCAACACUAAAAAAAAACAUCUCAAAACUAAUCCAAGAAAUAAAUAGGGAAAGUCUCUUAUAAUCUAUCAGUCAAAAUAUCUGAGAAAUUUGAAGGCACAUUUGCCAACCAUGGAAAAACUUUUGGAAAGCUUUCAUGUCGCCACCAAGGCGCAUUCACUCUGCGCCAUGUGGCGCUUAAUCUAAGGGUUGAAGUUUUGGCCAACUCAAUCCUAUAAUGCUCUCUUACAAAAGCUUCCACUAGCCUCCUAUAACCCAGGACCACGUUGACCUCCCACAGCCGAUCUAACACUGCUUGCCAUUCAGGUGGAAGAGUAUUCAUCAAAACCGGCACCUUCUCAAAAUCUGGCAAAAGAUAACCAUUCCAGAUGAUUUCCUAUAUCAUCCGAUUGACCCUGACCACGUGUGAUACUAAAUCACCGUCAUACCAUCGAUAAUCAGCUAGCUCUUUCAUCAGCCUUUUUAGUCUAGCUAUUCCUUCGUCCGUUCUCGGGAUUGCAGGUAUUUGUGCAUAACGCAUCAUAGUUCCUGCAACAAAUACAGAACCAAUAAAUAGAUCACUUAUAAUCCACAAUAAACAAAAUGGAAAAUACAUAAUUUUCCAUGAUUCAUGCAACAAAUGCAAAAUAAAAAAUGGAUUACCUAUAACCCACACAGACAUAAUUGAAAAAGAAACAAAUUCUUUUCUUUCUUUUUUUUUUCGGGUCAAUAGUCAAUGGUCAACAGGUCAACGGUCGUCGGUCAACGGUCAACAGUCAGGUCGUCGGUCGUCGGAUUGGUCGGGCCGGGUCGGACGAACCGACCGCACGUGCCGCGUGCGUGCGCGGGCUGACAUCACGCAGACGUCAGCUGGCACAUGCCGCGCACGUGCCAGGCGUCCGUGAGUCGGGUCGGGUCGGGUCGUCGGCCGGUGACCACCCAGCCAAUCGUCGUCAGCGCUGACGUCAUCGAUGACGUCAUCUGAGCAGUUAUCGACCUUUGGGUGACGUCAUGCUGACGUCAACACGCGUCGAUCCGUCGACCGGCACGUGCCGUUUCGCCGGCUGGCGUCGCGCACGUGCUGGUUCGCCAACCGGCGCGUGUGGCGCACGCGCUAGCCGAUGCCAACGCUUCGGGCGCGUCGCGCCCACGCGCAACGGCUUCUGGCCGCGUGUGUGGGCGCGUGCGGCGUCGCCCGGCGGCGCACGACUUGUCGCCGGACUAGCCUCGACGACCCCUUUCUCCCUAUGCCAUCAGAAUUUGAUUUUGACUUACGAAAACCCCGAAAAAUGGGCGAACAGCGCUCGGCUGUCGGGAUUUCUUGCCCCGAUCCAUACGGCCGAAUUACUUUCGCGAAAAAUCGAUCAAAAAACAUCAAACAGGUCGGGAAAACGUGAACUAGGGCUCCAAUACCAAUGUUGGGAAUAACGGAUCCCCGAAAACCGGAUUCGACACUAAAUCGAACCCCUAAAGCAAUGCGGAAGACGAAGCCCGGGAAAAACACGUAUCACCAAUCGUAAAGCACACCGCAGAUUCGAGCGUACCUUGUUAGCCAUAGAUUAGACACCAAUGCUGAAGUGAGGAAGAGAAAUUGGCCAUGUUCGAUCCGAUGACGCCAAUUCGCCUUAGAAGGGGAGAAGAAAGUGGCAUUGUGCUUACUGUUCUUUUUUUUUUUAGAGAGAGCGUUGAAAAGAGAGGGAGACGUACGUACGUUAUUUCCAAAAGGUGCGUUCUUCCUCUCUCUCCUCCCUUUUAUACGACCCUCCAUCCACGGGCCCUAUUCCCGUGGGCCGGGCUUUUAGGCCCAACAUGGGCGGACGGGCCUUAAGCCCAUCUCAUAUAAAACCAUCAGGAACGUUUCAGGUCAAGUGAGGCACCAUCAUAGCUAUCUCAGCAUCUCCUCACUGACACUAGCGAACCCGAAAAUGAGUUCGAGCCAUUUCUGUUCAGUUGCCUUCCCUACUGUCUUGAUCCUGGAGCUCAUGAUCAUGAGCUUCGCUUCUUGUAGUGCUCCAGGGAAUGAGACCGAUAAAAUUGCUCUGCAAGAGUUUAGGUCCCUCUUAACAGAUGAUUCUGCAGGAACCUUGGCCUCCUGGAAUGAUUCCCUCCAUUUCUGCCAAUGGACUGGAGUCACUUGUGGUCUCAGACACCAACGGGUCACCGCCUUGAACCUAGAUGGACGAGGUCUGGCUGGGACCGUGUCCCCUUAUAUUGGAAACCUUUCAUUCCUCCGAUACCUGAACCUUGCAAACAACUCUUUCCAUGGUUUCAUUCCUCCUGAAAUCGGGCGCUUGUUCAGGCUUAAAAACCUGAUCAUGAGCCACAACGCCUUAGGAGGUGGAAUUCCUAGAAAUCUCUCCAUGUGUCUUAGCCUCGUGAUUCUCGAGCUCGAUUAUAAUCGUCUCCACAAUUCCAUUCCUUCCGAAUUUGGGUCACUGUCGAAACUCUAGACGCUCUCCCUUCCGUUCAACAAUCUCAUAGGACCAAUCCCCGCUUCCAUCGGAAACCUUUCCAACCUCGAAGAGCUUGAUCUAUUAAGCAACAACUUGACAGGAGGAGUUCCCAUUUCUAUAAGCCAAACGAGGCUUAAAUUUUUUCAGGAAGGUCAAAACCAGCUGACAGGUGGCUUCCCCUCUGCCCUUUACAACUUGUCAUCCCUUAAUACCAUAAGUUUGACCCUAGGCCUGUUCUCUGGUAGUAUCAGGAGAGACACAGGCCUUCUGCUUCCAAAUCUGCAAAUUUUAUAUCUGGCAGUUAAUCAGUUCACAGGUCCCAUUCCCGAUUCACUCUCCAACGUCACAAACUUAGCAGAAAUUGAUUUCUAUGGCAAUAACUUCACCGGACAUGUCCCGGCCAGCUUUGGAGGGCUUCAAAACUUGAGCUGGCUCGGCCUUGGGUUUAAUUUUCUCGGAGGCGGCGCAACCGACAGUCUAAGUUUCCUUGCUGAUUUGACCAACUGCAGCAACCUUGAAAUGCUGGAUUUACAACAUAACCGGUUCAAAGGCAAGCUGCCUGUUUCUGUCGGUAACUUCUCAACCCAACUGGAGAGGCUACAAUUGUCAACAAACAGAAUUCGUGGGAGAAUUCCUGAAGCAAUUGUAAACCUCUUUAAUCUACAUCUAUUAUAUAUGAACGGUAACAUGCUAACAGGCAACAUUCCAAUGUCUAUUGGGAGGCUAUCAAACUUGCAAUAUCUGAAUUUGGGCAAAAACAAGUUGACUGGACACAUACCUUCGACCAUAGGUAACAUCACCGGAAUGAUAAAUCUGUGCUUGCACAACAACAGCUUAGAAGGAAGCAUACCUUUGAGCCUCGGCGACUGCAACUCCCUGCAAGAUCUAGUCCUCUAUCAUAACAAAUUCACCAGGACCAUUCCUAGCCACAUGAUCAGACCGUCCUCCCUCAUAAUAUUUUUGGAUGUAUCUCACAAUUCUUUGUCUGGGCCCCUGCCACCCGAUGUUGGAAACUUAAAGAACCUCAUUUCUCUCGACGUUUCAUACAAUCAAAUUUCAGGUGAGAUUCCUACAACUUUGGGCAACUGUUUGGGAUUCGAAGAGCUGUAUAUGCAAUCAAACCAUUUUCAAGGACCCAUUCCUCAGUUCAAGAGGUUAAAAGGCAUCUGUUUUCUCGAUCUUUCCAAUAACAACCUGUCAGAGCAAAUCCCAGAGUUUUUAGUUAACUUGUCGUCGUCGCUGCAAUUCUUGAAUCUGUCUUUCAACAAUCUCGAAGGCGAAGUACCUGUACGUGGGAUAUUUGGAAACACUAGUGCCUUCGAAGUUGAUGGCAACCGAGAGCUAUGUGGGGGCAUACCUGAACUGUGUUUGCCUUCAUGUCCAGCAAAAUCGUUCCUGAGAUCGAUAAAGCAUAGACCUUCGAGGUGGGUGGUGGACAUAAUCAUUUGUGCUUCUUGUGCAGUGGCAUUACUGUCCUUAAUAUCUCUUUUCUGGUUGAGAAACUCGAAGAAGGAACAUCUGCCUACCCACUCCUUCGGCCAUUUUCACAAGAGAAUUUCCUAUGAUGCUCUAUUCAAAGCUACUGACGGAUUCUGUUCAAGCAAAUUGAUUGGUUCAGGUAAUCUUUAUAUGUAGAUGAACAUUUAACUACAACAAAUGAGUGAACACACUUCAUAGUUCAUACAGUAGUACCACGUCGCAUGACCGCAAUAAUUUUUAACUCUUGUUCAGGUAGUUUUGGCAAUGUGUACAGAGGAACUCUUGGUCCCGAUGGAAAAAUCGUGGCCAUCAAAGUUUUGAAUCUCCAGCAGAAAGGAGCUUUCAAGGGCUUCUUGGCCGAAUGCAAAGCACUCAGCAGCGUUCGGCAUCGUAACCUUGUUAAGAUCUUGACUGCUUGUUCGAGCAUCGACUCCCAUCGUAAUGACUUCAAAGCCUUGGUAUACGAGUUCAUGGUAAACGGCAACUUGGACAUUUGGUUGCACCCAAACGACGAACACAUGCAAUUCAAACCUUUGAGCUUCCAGCGAAGAUUGAACAUCACGAUCGAUGUGGCCUCUGCUUUGGAUUAUCUUCACCACCAGUGCCGAACUCCAAUCAUCCACUGUGAUCUGAAGCCAAGCAACAUUCUUCUCGACGAUGAUUUCACGGCUCACAUCAGUGAUUUUGGAUUGUCGAGGCUCAUUUUCAAUUCUAACAAAGACAUCUUUUCGGGUCAUCCUAGCUCCUCUGCUUUUCAGGGAACCAUGGGUUACAUUGCUCCAGGUACGGCUCUAAAGAUCACAAUUACAUUUACAUCCACAAAAUCAAAAGAUUUUCAAUGACCUUGUAGAGUAAUCGAGCUAACAGGAACUUUUUCUGGACUGGCAGAAUAUGGAAUGGGCGUUUGUCCAUCAACAAGUGGGGAUGUGUACAGUUUCGGAAUUCUCUUGUUAGAGAUGUUCACGGGAAGACGACCAACAGACAACAUAUUUAAAGAGAAUUUUAACCUUCAGAAGUUCGUCAAGUCAGUGUUGUCAAAGCGAGCAACGGGGAUUUUGGAUCAGUCAAUUUUCUGUGGAGAAGUAGGCGAAAGCAUGGACGAGGAGGGGAUAUGGAGAGACUGUGGAACCGACCAAGCCAAAUGUCUGAUAUCGGUUUUCGAGAUCGGAUUAAUUUGCUCAGCAGAAUCACCAAAAGACAGGAAGGACAUGAAUGGAGUUGCACGGGACUUGCUCUCAAUCAGAGACAAGUUUCUCAAUACCGGCAUCCAUGAGGAUAGAAUACAGAGCCCUGCACCAAGUAAAGCACCUUUUUAAGUCGCCAUAUGCUUGUAUCUUUGUAUCCCUGGCAUUGCUUCACUGUUCCACAAUAUCUUUGGAUUUAGUAAAUCGGCUCAUAUGAUAACAAGUAUCGGGACAAUUGCUGAGAGCCUGAUCGAUAUAUCCUCCUUUCUCUUUUCAUAUUUUGCAGGGGACAGGUGCGAGGUGGCGGCCUGUUCCACCUCCGGUUUUUGAGUGGGACGGGGGGAAACUGUAAAUAGAGGCUGGCACGACGUAGCUUGUUAGAGCCACGUGGCUCUUUCCAUGUCAAUGGCGGGCUAGCUUGGGCAUCUGCGAAGUCCUUCGUCCAUAACUGAGCUACCAGGGAGGGCCUUGGACUUUGAGGGGCUUCAGCUUGCUAGCUGGUGAGCCUCCAAACCAGCAGCUUCUGGUUGGUCAGCAAGCAAAACUAGCACGCUCUGCAUAAUAAAUAAAACAUGGACUUCGACUAUUCCUAUGGUUAUUUUCCUGUUAUGAGACAUCUAUAUGUACUUGGGUCCGGUCACGUUGUUGUGAGAUCCUAUGAAACCAUCCGUCGAGAACGAGAGCCUUCCGAGAGUCCUUGAGGCCGUGAUGGAAGGUCUCCAUGCACUCCUGGAGUGUGUGGAUGGAUUUCCUUCUUAUGUCCUUCAGCCAACUUGUCUUUCUUCUUUUCUGGGAAAGUAGAGACAGCAACGUUGAUACCGAUACUGUCCAAUCGGUUCCGCAACGGCUCAGUUUUCUGCUUAUUCCAUGAUCUGUCUUGAGAAUCCAGCAAUGGAUUCCGAGUUCCAUAAUUGAGAACAGCUUUUACUUCUAUCCUUUCCAAUUUAGUGGGUCAAUUCCUUUUAAGGGGUUAGUCUAUGGAAGUUUAUGAGCAAAUUUGGGUAGUAAAUAAUCGCCGGUUAUUCUUUUCGAUCUAUAGAAAAGGAUUAGAUAUUGCAUGCAUCACGUCACCAGUUAAACGAGUUUAUUCAAAAAAAGAAAAUUUUACUAACAUGGAUUGCGGCAAAGUAUUUGAAUUUUUAUUAUUUAGAAUAAUAUAUUGGACAACACCCGACAUAUUCGAUAAUGAACAUAUAAAUGUAAUCAAUUUGACCAAAAAAUGUGAAUAGGAGAUAUGAAUAGAAUAUUAAUAGCCAGAAUUAUUGAUUGGAAAAGAAAAAUAAAGAUUAUGUUGGAACAUGAUAGAUACUCUCGUACUUAUCCAUUCACAUUUUGAAAUUAGAGGUGAUAAUUUUUAACAAGAUAGGUAAACACGGCUCAAACAUAACAUCGAGAUAACUCGUUUGGGUUUGCAAUUAACCAAUUCUUUAUGUGUUACCUCUGUGUCGACUGAGUCUAUCCCUCGUAAUCAAGAACACAGAAAGACCAGAGCAAAGUUUUUGAACCCCUUAAACUAGUGCAAAUUUUGCUCUCCAAAUUAUUCAAAAUUGCACUAAUUAAUCCAAAUCUGCUAUUGAUCUGGGAGCUUUGCUCUCCCUAUUUUAGAUUUGGGAGUUUUCUCUCAAAUCUAAUGAUAGAUUUAUGACUAUUAAUGUAUAAGUACUUUGUCUCAAGUUUAAUGCGAAUACUCACAGGUGUCAAAUCUGAGUUUGUUCGAUGUUUCUAUUAUGAUUGAUUGUAGUAAUCCCUCGGAACUCUCUUGAAAGCAAAGUCCACGACGCCAUUGCUCAUGAGAAUCGCCAAGAGGCAACAUUCGGUGCCAGUAUUGGUAGCUACGACGCCAAGCGACGAUGAGAGCUAUCCGGAGAGGGCCAAGGUGCUGCUGCUGCUGCCUGGGACGGGAGGCGGAGAGAUGGAGAAGGGGGAGGAAGAGAAGGCCCUGGAGAGGAGAGAGAGCUCGAGGUCAUCCCGCGCCUCCAUUGUUCUCUGGUAUUCGGUGAUCUUGAAGGACCUAAACUAAAUUCGAAAGGAGCUACUUUUUCCUUCUUCUUCUUUUUUUUUUUGAAAAAAAAAUGUUCAAUAAAAAUCCUAAAACUUGUCACGAAAUUGUAAUUAAGUACUAAAACAUACAAAAAUUACAAAAAAAUCCUAAAAUUUAUCAAAUUGUUGUAAUCGAAACUCCAACUAACUUGACUGACAUAAAAUGAAGCCCUCGCUGCCCGGCUAUUCUUCUUCUUGUAUUAUUAUUAUUAUUAUUAUUAUUAUUAUUAUUAUUAUUAUUAUUAUUAUUAUUAUUAUUAUUAUUAUUAUUAUUAUUAUUAUUAUUAUUAUUAUUAUUAUUAUUAUUAUUAUUAUUAUUAUUAUUAUUAUUAUUAUUAUUAUUAUUAUUAUUAUUAUUAUUAUUAUUAUUAUUAUUAUUAUUAUUAUUAUUAUUAUUAUUAUUAUUAUUAUUAUUAUUAUUAUUAUUAUUAUUAUUAUUAUUAUUAUUAUUAUUAUUAUUAUUAUUAUUAUUAUUAUUAUUAUUAUUAUUAUUAUUAUUAUUAUUAUUCUCGUUUAAUUAAACAAUUUUUUUUAAUAAAAUCUGAUUUUGGAACGAUUUUGUUUUAGCUUUAUAUUUUGUGUUUUAGCCACAUCAUCGUCAAGUAUGUGAGAGAAAAUAUUUUAAAAGUCGCGUUAGUAUUCUUCUUUAGCCAAGUUGAAUAAUAUUAACGAAAUAACUCGAUUGCAUCAAUAAUAAUAAACAAGGUGGGGAGAGACUAUCAAUACCAGUAGUUCUCUUUGGGCCCCAUCAUAAUGAUUCUACAUGCGCUAAAGGACAUUUGGUUUGGGCCAAAAUUACUACCCCGAUCUAAAGAUCAAAAAUUAGCGAGCUCGUGGAUGCAGCCCGAUCAACAUGAUAUCAAUUAAGAAGUCCUUCUACACCAGAUAUGCAGCAGUUAGGUAUCGUAGCAUGAGCUGUUCAAAGGCUCGCUCGUGUCGUAAAUCAAAGAUCUCGUAAGAGAUAUGUGAUCCUUUCACCACUAGACUAAUCACCCAAAUAUAUAAGAAGUUUAUUAGAUUAACCACAUUGGAUUGCAUUUUUUUUUUAAAAUAUAAAUGCAAGACAUGUAAAUUAGAGGUGUGUAAAAGAAUCAGAAACCAACCAAAACCGAACCAUAUCUACCUAGAAUCGGCGGACAGGUGUGAAAUUGCCCACCCAAACCAGACGGGUACAUAUAUAUAACUUUUUUUUAAAUAAAUAAAUAAAUUUUAUAUAGACCAUCUAUGUGCUAUAUUAGAGCCUAGAGAUGACUAAAGUGAGUUCAAUUUCAGUUUUUGAGAGCUCUUUUUAGCAAGUUGGAUUCUAUGGGCUGGAUGAAAAAUAGGGGAACCUCUAAAGGGUGUGUCCCAUGACCGAGCAAAUAACUUGGGUGCUAGAGGCGUCUUUGGUCUAACAUUCUACAACUCUAAAAGGAGAUGAUUGGCCAAGGAAUUGUUUACCAUAGGUGUUGAGGAGGAUUGGCUCGUGGUCCAAAGCAAUUCCAAUGAGGUGAGUCAUGAUGGCUUUCAAAAGCUAAUGACGCCAAUCUGGAUUGAAGUUGCACCUGUCAACUAUUCAAAACACUCUGGAAUGAAUUUGUUGAGGAUAUUUCAACUUGUUCCAUGGACCAAUUUGGAAAUCGGACAGGUCUUGUUCCCGAGUGGGUCCAUGAAACUAAUAGACGAUUCCCGAUUUCAAUUGUUUUGGAAUAGUCCUUAGUGGGCAAUUUCCAAAUACCGAUCACCUCCAAUGUAAAUGUAUUGUUUCAUGCUACAUUCAUUCAUCCGCUAGGGGAAGGUAUAAACACCAGGGCAAGAACGCCUAUCUGGAUUGGCUUUUUAAUUUUCAUUUAAUACAAAACAAAUGGUUCAAGCACAUCAUUUUUUUUUUUUUUAAAUUUUCACAAUAUUUAAAUGUUGAUACAUGAAUUCACAUAUAAAUUUCUCAUAAUUUUUUAAACUAUAACGACAUUCUAAACUCUAAGAAAAGUUUCAAAUAAGGGCUCGAAGUCAAGUCAUUUUUUUUAUAAAAUGACUAAACUUGGUUUUUGUUUCAAAUAAGGUCUUUAAGUGAUCAAGUUAAUCUUAAAUAAGGGUCUUUAGUCACCGGCAGACAUUUUUCCGACGAUUAGUACUGGGGCAAAUUUGUCGGAAAUUUAAGAUUAGGUAAAAAAUGAAGAAAAUCACCAAAUUGAAUUGGCAUAUGGUUCUUCCUUCAAUUUUUCACGUUUUCUUUCUUCUCCGCUGCUCAAGCAAAUGGCUUUCAUCCUCUCCUCGCCCGGUCCUAGCCGCUACUCGCCUGUUCCUCGCAAGCUUCAGUCUGUCAUCAUGUCUUCUUUCUUAGUUCCCAUCAUCCACAAGCUUCAAGUCCAUCGCACGCGAGCUUCGAGUCCGUUGUCCGCAAGCUUCCGAGUCCUUCUUCAGCGUCUCUUUCGCUCUAGUGCAUAUUUUUCUUCUUUCAGUGCCGGACAACUGGAGAAAAUUUGGUGGUUGGUUUCAUUAACUCCAUCAGUGAUGGGAGGCAUGGGCCCUGAGCUCGAGCUCUGGUCAGAGCAAACUGAUGAAGAGCAGGCACGAGUGACGAGAACUCGAGCUUUAGCUUCAUAUGGUAAUAGCUGUAUAAAGGUCUGCUUUCUUGCAAUUGUCUGAAUAUUUUAAAGCCUAGUCUAGUUAUGGUGAUUAGAGUAAGUACUGAUUAACGUUGUUUACUCUAACAUUGUAGCAACGAAAUUGGGGCUUGCCCCCCGACUUGUGAUGAGAACUCUUGCUAAAUUGUCUGUAGGCUCUUGUAAAGAACAAGAUCAAUCGAAGCCGACAUUUUAACAGAGUAGAAAGAGCGAAGAUUCUAUCGGAUGUUUUAAUUAUGCUUUCUUCAAUCAUGCACUCGAAAGAUCAACAUCCUCUGCCUUAUGGGAAUCAUCUUCACGUAUGAAUCAUCUUUCAUUUAUUGCCUCAUGACCAGAGGUCGGUUGAAAGUGAGUGAAGCUGGCGGAUGACAGAUUAAAGGGAAAAGGACACCACAGAUGUUAUAACUGCACAAUAAGUGAAUAUAAUGCAAUCCAAGAUCAAAAUUUCACCAAGAAUCGACCCAAUCCAAGAUUAGUAUCUCCCCAAAAACUAAACCGAUAGAAAUCGACUUAACUUUAGCAACAACCACUUGAUACAAUUGCGCAAUAAGUAAAUGUAACGCUGAAUUAUAAAUGAGACAAAACCAACAACAACACUGAGAUUUUAUGUGGAAAACCUAAAGCGGGAAAAACCAUGGAUGGCCCACAAACUUUCACUAAUUAUCAAGAAUAGUAGGAUACAUAAAGUUCUUCUCUAGAUACACACUAGAGACACAACAUCAACAGCACAACGGUGUUUCCAUCACUACAAAGGUGAAUUAAUACAAAUGGAGGAUGAAGACGGUUCUCAAAGGACGAAACUGAUCAACUUAUGGGCCCUCUGUCUCACAAACAACAUACUCAAAUUUGGGCCAAUUCCAAUAACAUUUAGCCUUUGAACCGGGACUACCAAGUUGCAACCCUUUUUGCCUUUCCUUCUCCCCUGUUCGCUCGGUCUCACACCCUCUCUCUGUUUUUUUUUUUAUCUCCUCUCAGGCUCCACGCUCGAAGCAGUAGUUCAACACUUUCAUGAUUGCUUCUUAAGAUUCACGCACUCCGACACUUUCUAUACUCUAAACAUUCAGGUCAAGUCAAGUGCCAGUAGAUGUCUCAGCGUGUCCUCCCCGAAAUGAUUCAAUCUGUGGAUAACAUCGGCAAGGGAUCCGAUUGAUUGAAUAUGAUCUUCCUGCGGCCUAUUCAAGGUUUCGAUGGUUCCAAGCUCCUGUGGCCUUCUCUAUAAAUGGAAUGUUUCAGAUCAAGUCAGGUACCACCAUACUUAUCCCAGCAUCUCCUCACCGACACUAGUAAACCCAAAAAUGAGUUUGAGCCAUUUCUGUUCAGUCACCUUCCCUGCCAUCUUGAUCCUGGAGCUGGUGAUCGCAAACUUCGCUUCCUGUAGCGCUCCAGGGAACGAGACCGAUAAAAUUGCUCUGCAAGAAUUCAGGUCCCUCUUGACAGAUGAUUCUGCAGGAACGUUGGCCUCCUGGAAUGAUUCCUUCCAUUUCUGCCAAUGGACUGGAGUCACUUGUGGUAUCAGACACCAACGUGUCACCGCCUUGAACCUAGAUGGACGAUACUUGGCCGGGACCAUGUACCCGUAUGUCGGAAACCUUUCAUUCCUCCGAUGCCUGAACCUCGCAAACAACUCUUUCCAUGGUUUCAUUAUGGCUUUUUUUCAGUCGUGCACUCGAAAGAACAACAUCCUCUUGCCUAUAUGGGAAUCAUCUUUAAGUAUGAAUAUCUUUCAUUCACAGCCUCAUGAUCAGAGGUCGAUUGAAUAUGAGUGAAGCUUGCAGAUGACGGACUUGAGAGAAAAUGACAUCACAGAUCUCAUAACUUCGCAAUAAGUAAAUAUAACGCAAUACCAAAUCAACAUUUCACCAAAAACCAACCCAAUCUAAGAUCAAUAUCUCCCUCAAAACUAAACUGAUCGAAACCAACUUAACCCCAACAGUGACCGGUUGAUACAAUCUCGCAAUAAGUAAAUAUAAUGUCGAAUUGUAAAGGAGACAAAAAGUCAACAACGUCACCAAUAUUUUACGUGGAAAAUCCAAAACGGGAAAAAUGAGAAAUGGCCCAAAAACUUCCACCGAUCACCAAGAAUGGUAAGAUACACAAAGGUCUUCUUUAGUCACACAUUAAAGACACAACAUCAAGAAUACAAUGGUAUUUCCAUCACUACGAAGGUGAAUUUAAUACAUGUCACAACCAAAUUUCGAGUGCACCACCUAAGGUUUGGCUAAUGGAUUACUAAGUCUAAACUUAGCUCGGGCUCUCCCAAGCCCAUAUCAAUUCGCGACUUAGGUUCAAGCUCUUAAUAUGCAAUUGAUUUUUAAUUAGGAGUCGCCACUAAUAUAUUUUUGGUGGGUCAAUUAGAAAUCCUAACUCCUGCGAACCAUGAGUUCAGAUUACGCUAGCUUUCACUAACAUACAUUUUUCUUUUUAUUUCAAAAAAAAAUAUUUUUAAAAAAAGGUUUUGCAAGCAGCUUGUACAUUUUUCUUUUUAUUUCAAAAAAAAUUAUUUUAAAAAAAGGUUUGCAGGCAGAAUUAAUUUUAAUUUACUUCCCUAAUAUGUGAGGUGAUCAUACGGGUGCACAAAUCACCAAUUUAACACCCAAGAAAGUAAUGAAUAAAUCACAGAACUUACCUUUAGAUCAAAAUUUACAUCAAAAGCCCUAGAUGUGAUUCACAAUCACUCAAUCUUUUUUAGGAUUUUUUUUUUUGUUUAAUGAAAUCUAAUUUAUGUGCAAUGCAAUUUAAUCAAAUAACCUAAUUCUAAUGACGGGCAAUUUCUAAUUAAAUGUACCUUGCAACAAUCACUAAAUGACAUGCAUUUUAUGAACCUAGUUCUAUAUGACAUGCCCAUGAUAUUUUUGUAUUUUUUUUUAAUAAAAAUUCGUAUUAAAAAUUGCUAAAAAAUAAAAAUUUAACUAAAGUGAGAUAUUAUCUAUUUUAAGUUAGGAUCUGAAUCCUAUCUUAACUUAGAAAUUUAUCUCGACAUGCAAUUUAAUUCAAAAAUAUUAUCUAACCUAGAUACCAUGCAUUUUAAUAUAAUUAGAAAAGAAUCUAACUAUUCUAUCAUGCAAUUCUAUCUAGGAAAUCAAUUCUAAUCUACAUGAUAUGCAAAUGCAAUCUUUUUUGUAUUUUUGGGAUAAAUAAAACAAUUAAAAGAUAAGAACCAUAGUUAUCAAAGAUAUUAUCUAUCGUUCGAAUUUGGAAACGAUAUCUAAUCAAACUUGAUUAUUUCGCUAAUAAAAUUGAUAAAUUGAUCUUAAAGAUCAAUAUAUCAAUUUUAUUUCCGGGAAUACGCCUAAUUUGAAUAUGCAUGUAUCGUCUUACUAUUUUAUUUGUAAAGGAAAUCAGAUAUGGUUUAUGCUUAACUUCUAACUUGAAAAAGAUCUUCACUUUAAAUAGCGUUCCUAGGGAAGGAUUAUUUUCUUACUUUCUUGGAACUGGAACUGGAUAGCCUGGAAAUGGAUGCGCUUACAACUAUAAUGAGAAUGUAAAGAGACGUAACUGGAUUUGCUUUGCCCCCUUCAAACUUGUCUGCUAGAUAGAGAUUCUUUUUAUCCCUCAUUCCCAACUUGUAAGAUAUUGAAAAGCAUGUAUUAGGCAAUAAAAUAUCCAAAUCAAAUUUAGAUAAGAUAAUUACUUAAAUUUGUAGAUAAUGUUACCAAAUUUACACCGAACGGAAUCCGCUCAAUGGGUGACAGCAUGUCGGAGCUUGGUCUUUGUGACUCACGGGUGGACAGGAACGAGAUCAUAGCAGGGCUCGAAUCGGUGGCUUCACGGAUCACGGUGAUGGCUCGGGGUGUUGAAGAUCCGGAGUUGCUGAUGUUCGUCGGACCAGCUAGACGUGUUGUGGGCGACCAGCAACGAUGGCAGGAGGAAAUCUGGAGUGGAAGGCCUGGUUCUUACGUGACGUUGAAGCUGUUCUACGUCUGGAUUUCUCUUCUUAUUUUUUUGUCGUCUUUCGUUGAAUUGAUGAAUAAUAUUGGAGACGUCGGGCCAAGUCUGGGCAGCUCGUUGGUGAAGCGUCGGACGUGUGCAGAGACCAAGGAGACAGAAGACUUCUCUCUUCUUUUGUUGUGCUUUUUGUCUCUUCUCUGAGCACCUACUCUCGUCUUUUUUUUUUUCCUUUUGCUUAUGGACGCUGGUUGCUCAUCUUCGUGUCUUCAUCAUGUAGACUUUUAGAACCUACGAGAAGAACAUAAGACUUUUCUCACGAUGGUAGCCACCUCGUCGUCUCUAUUGCGUCUCUCUCUGCACCCCUUCAGAAAAGCAACACACCCCCCCCCCCCCCCCCCCCCCCCUCCUUGUUGACUUUGACCCCAAACAUAAAAGAACUCUCCCUGCUCUCUUUUACAAAUCGUGUCCCUCUACCAUGUGACCCCCACAGGGAGGCCGUGAGUUCUCUCUUUUUGUGGCCGUGUACCUCAAUUAUGUGGCCCCCUCUUAAUUUGUCUCUUAGCGACUCCUUUUUAUAGGCCAAUAAUGAAGUUUUUAUCAACAUAGACGAAGAUCUCCUCCCGAAUAUUCUCCACCGAUUUUAUUUCAUAUUGUCAAAAAUUCAAAAUUAUAAAAAGAUUUUUCUCAAAUUUCAAAUCUUGCAAAAAUAAGCUUGUAAUAUUUCCUCGAGGAUAUUGAAAAAUCCACCGUCAUAUCAUCGAAAAUAUCAAAUCUCCACUUCUCACAAGAUAAUCUUCGAUUAUAAAAAAAAUGGGCUUGGCUAAUUUGCUUUCUUCGUGGGCUUAGUCCAACUCGUCAAAUUAAAGCUUGGAACUACCAAUUCAAACUCAUUUGUCACGAGUUCAAUGCAAAUGCAAAUGAAAAAAAAAAAAAAAAAGCUCUUAAAACUAUAUGGUACGCAAUUUAAUUCUAAUUUAAUUUAAUUUAAUUUUUUUAGGGAUAAAAUUAAUCCUUAAUUUUUAUGCAAUAAAUAAAUGACUGAGUCGCCAAAAUUUAGGGUUCAACAAUACAAAUCAAGGAUGAAACCCUAAUCGCGAUUGGAGAAUUCGGAGAAAGUUCUCAACGAAUGGAACCGAUCAACUUGUGCGCCCUUGGCCUACGUAUUCAAAUUCGAGCCAAGUUGCAGCCCUAUUUAAGAUUCAAGCAAGUCAAGUCAAGCGCCGCUAGAUGUACUCUCAACGUUCAGGUCAAGUCAAGUGCUAGAAGAGGUCUCAGCGACGUCCCCGGAAUGAUUCAAGACAGGGCCUAUCCAGGGUCCCAAUCGUAGUCGGCUAAUUAAGUUUCGAUGCUUUCAACUUCCAGGCUCGCUUCUGUGGCCUUCUCUAUAAAUGGAACGUUUCAGGUCAAGCGAGGCACCAUCAUAGCUAUCUCAGCAUCUCCUCACUGACACUAGCAAACCCGAAAAUGAGUUCAAGCCAUUUCUGUUCAGUCGCCUUCCCUGCUGUCUUGAUCCUAGAGCUCAUGAUCAUGAGCUUCGCUUCUUGUAGUGCUCCAGGGAACGAGACCGAUAAAAUUGCUCUGCAAGAGUUCAGGUCCCUCUUAACAGAUGAUUCUGCAGGAACCUUGGCCUCCUGGAAUGAUUCCCUCCAUUUCUGCCGAUGGACUGGAGUCACUUGUGGUCUCAGACACCAACGGGUCACCGCCUUGAACCUAGAUGGACGAGAUCUGGCUGGGACCGUGUCCCCUUAUAUCGGAAACCUUUCGUUCCUCCGAUACCUGAACCUUGCAAACAACUCUUUCCAUGGUUUCAUUCCUCCUGAAAUCGGGCGCUUGUUCAGGCUUAAAAACCUGAUCACGAGCCACAACACCUUAGGAGGUGGAAUUCCUAGAAAUCUCUCCCUGUGUCUUAGCCUCGUGACUCUUGAGCUCGACUAUAACCAUCUCCACGAUCCCAUUCCUUCCGAAUUUGGGUCACUGUCGAAACUCCAGACGCUCUCCCUUUUGAACAACAAUCUCACAGGAGCAAUCCCUGCUUCCAUUGGAAACCUAUCCAACCUCGAAGAGCUUAAUCUAAUGAGCAACAACCUGACAGGAGGAGUCCCCAUUUCUGUAAGCCAAACAAGGCUAAAAAAUUUUGUGGCCAGUGAAAACCAGCUGAUGGGUGGCUUUCCCUCCGCUCUCUACAACUUGUCAUCCCUCAAUACCAUAGCUUUGUACGGUAACAUGUUCUCUGGUAGUAUCAGGAGAGACAUAGGCCUUCUGCUUCCAAAUCUGCAAAUGCUGCUUCUGGGAGCUAAUCAGUUCACAGGUCCCAUUCCCGAUUCACUCUCCAACGUCACGAACUUAGCAGAAAUUGAUAUCUUCAGCAAUAACUUCACCGGACGUGUCCCGGCCAGCUUCAGAGGACUUCAAAACUUGAGCUGGCUCAACCUUGGCUUUAAUUUUCUCAGAAGCAGCGCAACCGAUGGUCUAAGUUUCCUUGCUGAUUUGGCCAACUGCAGCAACCUCGAAAUGCUGGAUUUAGAAUAUAACCAGUUUGAAGGCGAGCUGCCUGUUUCUGUUGGUAACUUCUCAUCCCAACUGAAUCAGCUAGUACUGUCAGGAAACAGAAUUCGUGGUAGAAUUCCUGAAGUAAUUGCAAACCUCUUUCGUCUACAGCUAUUAUUUAUGAACGAUAACAUGCUAACAGGCAACAUUCCAAUGUCUAUUGGGAGGCUAUCAAACUUGAAAUCUCUGAAUUUGGCCCAAAACAAGUUGACUGGACACACACCUUCGACCAUAGGUAACAUCACCGGUCUGAUACGUCUAUACUUGUACAACAACAGCUUAGAAGGAAGCAUACCUUUGAGCCUCGGUGACUGCAAGUCCCUGCUAUAUCUGCUCCUCUGUCAUAACAAAUUUACCGGGACCAUUCCUAGCCACAUGAUCAGACCGUCCUCCCUCAUAAUACUUUUGAAUGUAUCUCACAACUCUUUGUCUGGGCCCCUGCCACCCGAUGUUGGAAACUUAAAGAACCUCAUUUCUCUCGACGUUUCAUACAAUCAAAUUUCAGGUGAGAUUCCUACAACUUUGGGCAACUGUUUGGGAUUUGAAGAGCUGUAUAUGCAGUCGAACCAUUUUCGAGGACCCAUUCCUCAGUUCAAGGGGUUAAAAGGCAUCCGUUUUCUCGACCUUUCCAAUAACAACCUGUCAGGGCAAAUCCCAGAGUUUUUAGUUAACCUGUCAUCGUCGCUGCAAUUCUUGAAUCUGUCUUUCAACAAUCUCGAAGGCGAAGUACCUGUACGUGUGAUAUUUGGAAACACUAGUGCCUUUGAAGUUGACGGCAACCCAGAGCUAUGUGGGGGCAUACCUGAACUGCGUUUGCCUUCAUGUCCAGCAAAAUCGUUCCCGAGAUUGAUGAAGCAUAGACCUUCGAAGUGGGCGAUGGACAUAAUCAUUUGUGCUUCUUGUGCAGUGGCAUUACUGUCCUUAAUAUCUCUAUUCUGGUUGAGAAAUUCAAAGAAGGAACAUCUGCCUACCCGCUCCUUCGGCCAUUUUCACAAGAGAAUUUCGUAUGAUGCUCUAUUCAAAGCUACCGACGGAUUCUGUUCAAGCAAAUUGAUUGGUUCAGGUAAUCUUUAUAUGUAGAUGAACAUUUAACUACAACAAAUGAGUACAGAGAACACACUUCAUAGUUCAUACAGUAGUACCACAUCGCAUGACCGCAAUAAUUUUUAACUCUUGUUCAGGUAGUUUUGGCAAUGUGUACAGAGGAACUCUUGGUCCCGAUGGAAAAAUCGUGGCCAUCAAGGUUUUGAAUCUCCAGCAGAAAGGAGCUUUCAAGGGCUUCUUGGCCGAAUGCAAAGCACUCAGCAGCAUUCGGCAUCGUAACCUUGUUAAGAUCUUGACUGCUUGUUCGAGCAUCGACUCCCAUCAUAAUGAGUUCAAAGCCUUGGUAUACGAGUUCAUGGUAAACGGCAACUUGGACAUUUGGUUGCACCCAAACGACGAACGCAUGCAAUUCAAACCUUUGAGCUUCCUGCAAAGAUUGAACAUC